ACCUGAACCAUGGCCACCAGAGUUGGCAUGGUUAGUCUCCCAUGAUCAUGCCACCACAUCCACCGCCACCGCACCCGGCGCCACAGCCUGAACCGCAGCCCCCAGACUUGGCAUGGCUCAUCUUGGAGCCUUCCAUGAUCAUGCGGCCACAUCCGCCGCCACCGCAGCCGGCACCACAGCCUGAACCACAGCCCCAGACUUGGCGUGGCUCAUCUUGGAGCCUUCCAUGACCAUGCCGCCACAUCCGCCGCCACCGCAGCCGGCGCCACAGCCUGAACCGCAGCCCCCAGACUUGGCAUGGCUCAUCCUGGAACCUUCCUUGACCAUGCCGUCACAACCGCCGCCACCGCAGCCGGCGCCACAGCCUGAACCACAGCCUCCAGACUUGGCAUGGCUCAUCUUGGAACCUUCCAUGACCAUGCUGCCACAACCGCCGCCACAGCCUGAACCGCAACCGCCUGACUUGGUGAAGCCAGUCUUGGAGCCUUCAAUGACCAUGCUGCCGCAGCCACCGCCACAGCCUGAACCGCAACCACCUGACUUGGCAAAGCCAGUCUUGGAGCCUUCCAUGACCAUGCUGCCGCAACCACCGCCGCAGCCAGAGCCGCAGCCUGAGCCACAACCACUAGACUUGGUGAAGCCACAACCGCCUGACUUGGCAUGGCCAGUUUUGGAGCCUUCAACCACCAUACCGCCACAACUGCCACCACAACCUGAACCGCAGCCGCUAGGCUUGGCAAUGCCACCCUUGGAACCUUCAAUGGCCAUGCCGCCACAACCUCCACCACCACAACCUGAACCACAGCCACCAGACUUGGUGUUCCCCUCCUUGGAGCUUUCAAUAACCAUGCUGCCACCGCAGGAACCGCCGCAUCCCGAUCCACACCCAGCAGACUCAAUAUGGCCAUUCUCUCCGCCUGCAACGACACCACAACUCGCAUGACCUUUCUUGUAGCUCAUGGUGACCACAGAGACACCACAUCCACCACCACAGCCUGAUCCACAACCACCGCACUUAGAAUCAGCCACCUUGCCGCUUGCAAUGACCGAGCCGGCACAGCUAGCAUGACCAGCCUUGUCACUUGCCAUGACCAUGUCGCCGCCACCGGCCGUGCCACAAGCGCCACAUUGUGCCGGACCAGCAGUGGCGCCUGCUGCUCCACCUUUCACCAUUUCAGAUGCCACUGUAGUAUCAGGCUGACCUUCAAUGAGCUUCGCACCAUGUUUUCCGAUGGAAUUCAGGAACAAGAAUGACAUCGCGAUCCAGGGAAGCAGAAACCAAUCCUCAUCCACCUAAAUUUAAGUAAGAAUGUACCAUGAGUGUAUCUGACAUGCAAGGAAAUUAAUUUUGACUAGUUAGAAGGAUAUGGCGUUAGAGCUGACGAUGUACCGUGAUAAAUUUUGAUUCAGUGUCAACUAGGGCGACUGCUUUGCCAUAGGGGUGUUCAGCCGAGAACUUCACAGCGGUAACUGCUGCUGCAGUAUCUUCAGCAUGCUGACUGCAGCAUUUGAGUUCAUAUGCUAGUCUCCUUCCCUUGUAUAGUUUGAUCUGCUUUGUUCAAAGAAGUACCAAAACUAUGAGUAUGAACUUAAAUGCAUAAACGUUUCUUAUUUACAUAUGAAUUAAUGUAAUCAUUAUCUUCAGAGCAAACAUGAAUUGAGCUGUACACUGCAACUGUCCUUACCAAUUUGUUGUCGUAUUUGAGCUCGUGUAUGCAGCCAUCCUUGCUUGGUUUCAGGUCAUGAGUGACGGAUGGGUUGGAGUUGUUGAGAGACCAUUUGUUUUCCGUGAAUUCUGCAAGCUGAAAUGGAUGCUUUGAUGACUUUGUUACUCCAACCAAUUCUUGAGUGAGAGCCAUGCCACUCUUGGCCUUGUGCUCCCUGAAUUAAGGGGAUGAAUUUCUCAUUAGACUAGAAAAAAAAACAGAUAUUUCAUUCAUAGUAAAAUAAUCCCCGCAAAUUUUUUUAGUAAAUUAGAACUUUGCCGUGUCCACUGGAAUAAAUUUGGAUCUGUUUUGAAGGCGAAAUACAGAUACUUCUAUAUAAGUCGAAUAUUAAUUCCUGCAGAAAACACCAAUUUGCAGUUUGAAAUGAAACUGUUAUUGGCAAUCGAUGUAUCACAUAGUAACUUUUUAUUCGUUUCUGCAACAGAAAAAAAAAUCCAAGUAUCAUGCAAGACGUACUAAUCAGCAGACAAAUGCGUUUCUAGACUCAAUGUUCAGUUCUUCACAUAUAUGUGCCGACUGAUGCCACGGACAGCGAAAAUACCUUAUCUGAAGACGAAUGAGUUCAGUACCACAAUCAUACACGAAGCGAGUCCAGGAGCUCAUAUCUUGAUCCUUGGUGGAAUGUGGCAAUAGACAGGCCUUCAGAGAGCAAGGCUUCACAUUCACCAUGCUAAGAACCUGUGAAGCCUGCCUUGGGACAGUACAAGAUGCGGCGACACGAAGACUGACAGGAGGGGAACCAGCAUAAGCGCCGCAACUUUUCAGUUCAAACCACCUCUCAAAGGAGAGCUUGGAAUCAUGCUGUGUAAGCUCUUGAAGAGAGAUCGAAACCUUCCCCAACGGUUCCGAUUUCUUCGAUGACGAUGCCCCAGAAUAGGCCAGAUCAACCAUUACUGUAAGAAUGAGUUCGCCGGUAGGUUCGCAUUGGAAACCAGCUCCAAUACUCUUCCCUAUUUUCGAUGAAAUAUCCAACCUGCCGCCAUCACCGAUAAGUGCAUCUGGUUGAGUCUUGGUGAACCAUACAUACACACUUUUCUCUGGAAUUGCAGAUGGUAAGUUCUUGAUGUCCACAAUCUGUAAGUAUAACUACAAAAGUAUGAAAAUAUUUUGAGUUAGUAAAUUCAGUAACUGUCUCUUGGCGCUGGAUCGUGUUUUUAGAUAACUGAUACCAGGCGUUUCUUCCAAAUUAAUAAUCUAAUAUUAAUAGUAGUACAACAUACAACAUUUUGGGUUAACUUACUAGAUCAGAAAAAACUUUGAAUCCAAAAUUAUUGACUACUUGUCUAACUGUUGCUUCAUGGACAGCAAUAAGAUGUAAAAAGAAUAUCAUACCUCCACAACUGCUGUUUCAACAACAGCAAGACGCUUCUCCGCUUCAUCGACACCAAAAACACCAUCUUCCUCACCACCAAAUUCUAUCCGAGGAACGGAUGUCACGGGAGACGGCAAGCUUCCACGGUACAUAGCGCCGGCCUUCCAGUACCUCACACCAAAGCAAUCCUCGAACUGCUCGGUGGUGCCUGAAAACCCGGUGUCGAGCUUCUUCCCUUCGGCCCGAUCGUCGUCCGUGUCAUCGUGCUCCAGAACUCUCCCAAGGAGACCCACCAUGUCAUCGCGGUAGGCAAGAGGAUUCAGUUGGUGGGUGUGCCACAUCAGAUCCACAUCGUAGGUUGGCACACGGAAGAGGUUCGUUCCUUUCUCCUGGUUCAUCUUGAUCAGAUACAAAAACCCUUUGUACCGAGCCAAAGCGUCUUCAAGGAAACGGCGAUCAUGCAUGGUUGGUGUUCCAACCUGCCAGAAACGAAGGAAUUCACUGAAUUUCUCUACAUAUUUAUUUAACAGAGCAAAGUUUAGUAGUGUGACCAGCUACCUGGUAGACGAAAGAAGACUGUCUCUUAACAGCUGAGAUCAAAUCGUAGGAAAUGCCUCCUGCGGUUCCAUCGCCCACGUAAACAGAUUCUGUAGUGUACUCCAACUCAAAGGGCUCCCCAGGAUAUAACUCGGUCCAAACUUUCUCGGACGGAUCCUUGGACUUUGCUUGAACGGAGGACUUGACAUUGUUAGAGUCCAAUAUCCUGCCAUAUAAUCUCUUGCAAUCCUUUAUGUAUCGAUUCUGAAACAAGAUGAUUUUGAUUUAGAAAUUAUUUCCAGCCAUGUUGACACUAGUAUUUUCUUUUAUGCCAGGUGUUGCAAACAUAUACUGCUAGUUCUCCAAUGUUGUGAUGACAGAUUUUGAACGACACACGAACAUCUGUGAGUUAAUAUAUGUGUACCGGGUUAAGCCGAUGGCAGUGCCAUAUCCAUUCGCAGUCAAGCGGAACAACCAGAGGCUCAUCAUCUGCAAGAAUAGCGGCCUUGGUGUGCUUGGCAAGAAGGGGAAGCCAGCAAGCUUUGUACCUAGCACAACAACAAAGUCAGACAAUAUUUCGAAGUCUUCCAUACGAUACAGAACAUAAACUAAUUUAGCACCGGUGAUAUUUUUUACAUAGUAGUAUAAUCAGUGAUUUCAGCAUGAUAUACAGGGUCUUUAAAAGUAAAAUAGGCAGACAGAUUUAAUUACAUGCCAAAACUAUCUAGAUAAGGCCCGAAACUGUAGCACCAGACUGUAACUGGAAGCACAGACCAGAGGAUGGUUUCAGAAGGAAAAAUUACUGGCGAUUAUCGAUGCCAUUCCUUAUUAUAAAACUGAAAACCCAAACAUAUAUUCUCAGUUCAACUCUGUUCCACCGACCUAAUUAUACCAAGGUUAACUGAACUAGUGUUUUCUUUCUGUCUGAUUUUGCUGAAGAAGCAUGUGUCUGUCAGGGUGAUUCAACAGGAGUUUACCGAAGAAACAUGGCAACGAUUAAUCACUGAGAAAAUUUCACUCCCAGCACAAGAAGACGCCAUAGAUGGUAGAAAGUGUUGAUCAACAAUACCCAGAAGAUAAAAGAAAAAACGAUGAAACGCCUCGGAAAACAAACUAGAUUCACAGACGCGAUGGUCUCUCUUGUGCUGCUCAAGAGGCAACAGGAUGGAUGGCGAUAGUCGGUAGGUACCUGCGUAUGGCCCUGUGGAGCAGCGGGCCGUCGUAGAGCCACCGGCGGCGGUCGACCGCGGCGAGGAACUCCAGCUGCCGCAGCGCGGCCGGGACGAGGUCCUCGCCGAUGCCGAUCCCCUGCGCCGCCGCCCACCGCGACUCCUGCUCCGCGUCCAUCUUUCUUCUCCCUCCUUGCUCCGAUCGUCCCCACCCCACCCACCUGCAAGAACCUGAGUGAGGGAGACUGCGCUACGGACUCCGAUGGCUGACUCUCUGCCACCAAGUAACCAUGCAUGGCUCCCUAUUUAUGCACCGAGGGAGGGAGCCAGGAGCACGCAAAUAGUGUACGGCGAGGCAAAACACAGCACAGAGAUAAAUUAUUGACCAACUGAAAUACUCCACUAGCAUCGAUCGCUAUCCAAUCCACGGCGAAUAAUGUAUGAGCUGCUUUCAGUUAAGGGCACUCGUACGUAGCGUGUGCUGCGCGCGCAUGAACAACUCUGCACGCUUUCUGAACCCAUACGAUAUCCAUCCAUGCAUGAUCGAUCUUUCUUGCCAACUAUGCACACUUGUGGCUGCUGGUACUGCAAAAGCAAAUGCAAGUGCAAGUGCAAGUGCAUGCAUCUUCUACCAACUCUCCAGCUUCCUUUUGCAGCUCGUUUAGAAACUUUGAAAUGCAGAAAAAGAUAUUACACCUGCUAUAAAUACUAUGCACACAGUAGUACGACAAGUUUUUAGAUCAGUGACAAGAAGUAAAAUUUAGUCUGGAUCAUGUAACAAAACCGUGGCAAUAAUUUCGCAGGACCCUAGCUAAUCCUUGCAAAAAGUAUUGUUGCUUGCAAACCCAAGAAAACUAUGUGAUGUAACACAUCACGCUUGGACUAUUCAAUAAUGGAGAUGCUCGGCCUGUGCGGAUCAUGCCGCUUCCGGAGCAUACGCAGCACGAUAGUAGUACACUCGUACUGCAGUAGUACAGGGCUCAAGGCGUUUGAUCGUACGGUACGUCACAUGGCCGUGGUUUCUGCCAGGUCAUCUCCGCACCGGAUAAACAAUUCUGGGGCGGAAUUAUGCUAUUAUUACAGAUUAGAGCAUCUCCAAAAGUUCCAUAAAAUAAUUACAGUUUAGGGGAAGUUGGGCACACAAAAAACAGUCUCCAAACAUUUCCAUAAACGCCCAAGAAAUUACAAAUAAUCCCGUGUAACCUUAAAAAAAACCUUCAUCUACGGGAAGAUGACCGCCCUUUCCGUAAAAGUGUCACACCACCCAAUCCCCAUUGGACGCCCCCCCCCCCACCACCACCAACGACUGUCGUGCAGCUUGCUCGCCGUCGCUGAACAACAUCGUAUGAUGUCACCACCGUUAGUUGGGGUUGCGUCACCACGAAAAACCACUUAUAGGGAAAGUUUUCACGGAACUGAGAAAAGACCGCACCUUGGAACUUCCUCCAAGUUAUAUGGACAUCCCGUAAAACCACUUCUAUGGAGAAUUUUUUACAGAAACCGUUGAAGAUGCUCGUCCGUUGGGUUUAUAUGGUGUUUGAUUGGGUUUAUUCUUGGCUUUUGCACUUUGGUUUAUAAGCUCAAAAACAUCUAUUUAUGGGAUUCUGGCUUUAGCUUUUGGCUUACAUAAACAUGUAGCAACACUGAGUCAUAAGUCUAAAGCGUAUAAAUAGGUCAUUUUUUUGGUUUACAAACCAAAGUGUAAAUGCCAGAAACAUGACCAAGUCUCACGUUGGUUGUCGGAGGUAGAAGAUGACUUAUAAGAAUGUAGUGUCCCCUCCUAUCAAGCUGGUCUUUCAGACAAUAUCUUAUUUUUGACCCUCUUUAGAAAGGGAAUUUUUGUUUUAGCCAUUGUAGAUUUUGCUCAUUUUCCUUAUCCCACUCUAGUUUUUGACAUGUCACUUUUGUCACUCUUAGCUUUUGACAAUACAUCACAAUUGUCAUUUCAUGGCAAAAGCAAAAUAAUUUCAUUUCACUUUUGCCAUUUUCUAUGUAGGUUAUGAGGCAAAGCAACAAAGACUAAGACCGAGCAAAACAACAUAUAAUCUAGUGAAAUGUGCUAAAAUUGAUAACAAAAUUCAUGAUGCUUGUAUUGUAUCUAAUGCCAAAGUAAAUUACGUGGAGAUCGGGCGACAUAAAAAACUUAGCAAAUUAUGUAGGGGAACCAUCAUCAACUCCCCACGAGUACCGUUGCUUGUUUUCUUAUUGUUCUUAGGCGUCAUCCCAUUGUAUAUGUUCUACUAUUUGCGGCACAUUUGAAUUAUCUAGGAUUAUAUGUUGUGCCAAAUAUUAGUUGCAUACUCUUGCUGGGAUGGAUUGCUCUUGUCUUGCACCGCCUUUUUGCGGCACGAGAUGUAAAUGAUUCAAGGCCAAGUGUGGUGUAGGCAUGCAAUGGCAUCAUAUCACUUAACCUAGUAAAUGUAAAAACAUACAUGCCCAUAAAAUAUCAAAAAAUGAGCAACACCAACGACUCCAGGAUAAACCACUCACUCACAAUUUAUUUACUCUAGAAUUUUUUUAAAUCAGUAGAUUUUUAGUUAUCCCUUCUAUUUACUUACACCUAAAAACAAAAAUCUUGCACUCUAGAAACCUCCGUCAACUUUAGAUAUUUCUCCCAUGGUAUUUAAAGAUACUAUAAAAGACAGAAUGAUAUAUACAUAUACUUAGAAUUUAUCUAAGUGGCAAAAUGGAAUAGGUGAUAGAAUGCGAGUUUGAUCUUUUUGGCUUUUCUUUGCUACAGAGGAAUUCUGAUCUAACGGGGGCUUUUAAGGGGAACUAUCUAAAGAAGGAAACUAUAAAUGCCACCUUUUAUGCAUACUAUAUUCUAUAAAUAUAGUGUAUGUAUAAUUGUAUUGUAGAUGUUAAAAUUGUAUAACAUGAGUAUUUUAUCACAAUAUAUAGUAGCAUUGUUGGGAAACUAAAUCGGUCCAGACAGUAUGUUGAGAUAAUAAGUUAAAAAUAAGUAAAAAAAUGUAGUAUAAAUAAAUGAAUAUAAUUUAGGCUAUCUUACUUGUAAAAUGAACCCAUGGUCUACCGUCGGUCUGUCGCCAUAGCCCUGAGCUUCUCGACUCGUGCGGCGUCCGAAAGCAGUGGCGGAACGAGGAACGAAAUGAAGGGUGUGCACACUUUAAAAAAAAAUCCUACCUAAUCCAAGUGUAACAAAAUAUGGCAAAAGAAUUACAUAAAUAGCUCAAUUCAAAUCUCACAACCAUUUAGUUCACAAAAUAUAUCCCAAAUGUGCUCAGUUACAAUACAAAAGGCUUACAUGAAAGAAACAGAAGUAAAAAAUUACAACACUAGGUAACUCUACGUCGUUACAUUGCCAUGAAAGCAUCAACUAUUUCAUCUUCACUUACUUUCAUGAACACAUCUCGCUCAAUGAAUAUCAUCAAGCAAUUAUUCAAGCGAUCAUCACCCAAGCUAGUCCUCAAUUUAUUUUUCACUAGAUUCAUUGCAGAAAAUACCCUUUCAACACUCGUCGUUGCCACUGGUAAAAUCAAUAUCAAUUUGAUGAGUAAGUGGACCAAAUCAUAAAGAACAUGCUUCUUUGUUGCAACAAGCAAAAUAGAGAGAUCACCAAUAUUACUUGCAUUUCUAAACCUAUCAUCUUGUCUCAUAUCAUAAAUAAAAGUACCAAGUUGAAAUUCUAGCCUUAUCAAAUCCGUGCUUGAUAUGUCCAUGGGAUAGAAUUCAACAAGUUUUAUUUCCUUGAAUGCAUCAUAAGAAGCAAAUGAAUUGAGGGGAUUCAAAGCCGACAUGCAAAUAAGCAACUCCGUAUUAACCUCGUCAAACCGGUUGUUAAGCUCUUGAAUGAUUUGGUCAAUGACACCAAGAUAUAUUUCUCUUCUAUAACGAUCAUCAUUUGUUUGUACUUCAUAAUACCGACGUGAUCUUCCAUGAUGCUCAUAAGUAUCCUGCCAUAAAGGAACUUGAAUGCCAUGUUUGUUGCAAAAUAAGGUUAGCUUUGCAAGAAAUUCUUCCCAACCAUGACACCUCAUGUGUUGCAUUCUACUCUUUGCCAAACUAACAAGUGCCAUUGCAUUAACAAUAUAUUAAUCUCUCUUUUGCAAAGAUUUGGACAACUCAUUUGUAUAGCCAAGAAUAACAAGCAUCAAGUGAAGAUUGAAAACAAAUUCAAAUGAUUCAAUGGCUUGAGUAACUCCAUGUAUUCUUGUCCAUUCACCUUUUUGUGAAGGAUCUUUUCCAAUGGCGUCAAGUACCUCAAGAAUUGUGGAAUACAUAUGCUAACAAUAUGCAUAAUGGUUUUAAAAUGAGAAACCCAACGAGUAUCGCCGGGUCUAGAUAGUCCCAUCUCUUGAUUUAGCCCACUUCCACUUUCAAUCUCACCCAUUUCAAGAGCUUCCAAAACCUUUUGAGCUCUAACAUCUCGAAGCAUGUCAUGUCGCCUACAAGAAACUCCAACUACAUUGAGCAAGUAAGAAACAUGAUCAAAGAACCACAAACAUGGUUCAUUAUCCUUUGCCACAGCUAUAAGAACCAAUUGAAGUUGAUGUGCAAAACAAUGGAUGUAAUAGGCCGAGGGUGACUCUUUCAUGACCAAAGUUUUCAAUCCUUUAGUCUCCCCUUUCAUGUUGUUAGCCCCAUCAUAUCCUUGCCCACGUAUUUGACUAGGUGUCAAAUGAUGAUCUUUAAGCAAAGUUUGAAUUGCAUCCUUAAGUGACAAUGAAGUUGUAUUGGGAACAUGAACAACUCCAAGGAACCUCUCAUACCCUCUUCCCGAUUUAUCAACAUAACGUAUGUAGAGAGCAAGUUGUUCUUUGUGAGAUGCAUCACUGGACUCAUCAGCUAGGAUUGCAUAGUGGUCAUAACCAAUAUCUUCAAUAAUUCUUUUAGUUGUUUGCGCCGCACAACAUUCAAUUAUUUGAUUUUGUAUCUUUGGACUAGUCAAUAUGCAAUUCCCAGGAGCAUUGUUCAGAACAACCUUAUUAACUUCUUCUUCAUUUGCAGAAAGUCAUUUAAGAAGUUCAAGAAAGUUCCCCCUAUUGCUAGAGUCUUCACUUUCAUCAUGUCCACGAAAUGCCAAUCCUUGGUUCAAAAGAAACCUCAAGCAUCUAAGUGAAUAAGUUAGCCUAGCCAUGUACAUACGUAGAUCCUCUUUAGACGCCCUCACAAUGAUAUCAUCAAUUGAUGGUUGGGGUAACACAAACAAAUUGUACUUCUCUUGAGCUUUGUUGUGAAUGCUAUUUAUACCACCUUCAUGUUUGUCUAAUGCAUCAAGACCUAUACCAAUUUUUCCAAGCACCUUUAACAAAUGUAUCACCCCUAGGUCCCCCAUUCGAUUUGCCUUUGAACAAAUAACACACAAAGCAAAAUGUUGCCUCAUAUUUGACACUAUAUUCUAGCCAUUUAUAGUUCUCAAACCAAACAAAGUUGAAGUGUCGAUUUUUACCAUACAUUUUCUUGACUUCAAAGUUGUGUGCAUAUGGUUGGAUUGCAUUCUUUGCAAUGUACCGUUUCCGAACUUUAUCUUGAUCACCGACAUCAUACUCUGAAAUAGGAAUCCUUUCCCCUGGAUUAGUUGGAAGCCUUUGAAUAUUAUAUGAUCUUGCAUUUGGAUGUUGAGGUGAUGGUUGUCGUGGCGCUUCAUCAUCAAUAUCAAUGUCAAUCUCUAGAUCGGAAUGGACUGGAGGUGAAUAAAUAUCAAUGUCAAUCUCUGAAUCUAAAUGGAGUGGAGGCAGUGGAGGUGGAUCAAUAUCAGGUUUAUGUUGCUCUUGGGCUGCAACCUUUCUUGUUUUUGCCUCAUAAUUGAGGAAAAAUGACUUAAUGUCAUCAUUCCUCUUCAUCUUCAGAUGUACUAUAAUUAAAACAUAAUGUCACUACAAAGUUGUAACUGCAAAGAGCAAAGUCUGCAAACAAGAUACAAACUCAUCCACCAAGCAACUCACCCACGAGCCAUGAGGCCACAACGAGCGGCUCUGCCCUGGGCGAGCAGCGACGCACCGUCGGAGCGGCAGGACUGGGAGCAGUGGCGGAAGCUCCGCGGCUGGGCAGGCAGUGCCGGAAUGGCGGAAGACCGUGUUGGGGAACGUCGCAUGGGAAACAAAAAUUUUCCUACGCGCACGAAGACCUAUCAUGGUGAUGUCCAUCUACGAGAGGGGAUGAGUGAUCUACGUACCCUUGUAGACCGUACAGCAGAAGCGUUAGAGAACGCGGUUGAUGUAGUGGAACGUCCUCACAUCCCUCGAUCCGCCCCGCGAACAAUCCCGCGAUCAGUCCCACGAUCUAGUACCGAACGGACGACACCUCCGCGUUCAGCACACGUACAGCUCGACGAUGAUCUCGGCCUUCUUGAUCCAGCAAGAGAGACGGAGAGGUAGAAGAGUUCUCCGGCAGCGUGACGGCGCUCCGGAGGUUGGUGAUGACCUUGUCUCAGCAGGGCUCCGCCCGAGCUCCGCAGAAACGCGAUCUAGAGGAAAAACCGUGGAGGUAUGUGGUCGGGCUGCCGUGGAAAAAUCGUCUCAAAUCAGCCCUAAAACCUCCGUAUAUAUAGGUGGGAGGGAGGGGACCUUGCCUUGGGGCUCAAGGAGCCCCAAGGGGGUCGGCCGAGUCCAAGGGGGAAGGCUCCCCCCAAAACCGAGUUGGACUUGGUUUGGUGGGAGGGAGUCCUUCCCUUCCUUCCCACCUCCUCUUUUUUUUCCUUUUCUCUUGAUUUUCUCUUCUUGGCGCAUAGGGCCCUUUUGGGCUGUCCCACCAGCCCACUAAGGGCUGGUGUGCCACCCUCAAGGCCUAUGGGCUUCCCCGGGGUGGGUUGCCCCCCUCGGUGAACUCCCGGAACCCAUUCGUCAUUCCCGGUACAUUCCCGGUAACUCCGAAAACCUUCCGGUAAUCAAAUGAGGUCAUCCUAUAUAUCAAUCUUCGUUUUCGGACCAUUCCGGAAACCCUCCUGACGUCCGUGAUCUCAUCCGGGACUCCGAACAACAUUCGGUAACCAACCAUAUAACUCGAAUACGCAAGAAACAACGUCGAACCUUAAGUGUGCAGACCCUGCGGGUUCGAGAACUAUGUAGACAUGACCCGGGAGACUCCUCGGUCAAUAUCCAAUAGCGGGACCUGGAUGCCCAUAUUGGAUCCUACAUAUUCUACGAAGAUCUUAUCGUUUGAACCUCAGUGCCAAGGAUUCAUAUAACCCCGUAUGUCAUUCCCUUUGUCCUUCGGUAUGUUACUUGCCCGAGAUUUGAUCGUGAGUAUCCGCAUACCUAUUUCAAUCUCGUUUACCGGCAAGUCUCUUUACUCGUUCCGUAAUACAAGAUCCCGCAACUUACACUAAGUCACAUUGCUUGCAAGGCUUGUGUGUGAUGAUGUAUUACCGAGUGGGCCCCGAGAUACCUCUCCGUCACACGGAGUGACAAAUCCCAGUCUCGAUCCAUACUAACUCAACGAACACCUUCGGAGAUACCUGUAGAACAUCUUUAUAGUCACCCAGUUACGUUGCGACGUUUGAUACACACAAAGCAUUCCUCCGGUGUCCGUGAGUUAUAUGAUCUCAUGGUCAUAGGAACAAAUACUUGACACGCAGAAAACAAUAGCAACAAAAUGACACGAUCAACAUGCUACGUCUAUUAGUUUGGGUCUAGUCCAUCACAUGAUUCUCCUAAUGAUGCGAUCCCGUUAUCAAGUGACAACACUUGCCUAUGGCCAGGAAACCUUGACCAUCUUUGAUCAAUGAGCUAGUCAACUAGAGGCUUACUAGGGACAGUGUUUUGUCUAUGUAUCCACACAAGUAUUGUGUUUCCAAUCAAUACAAUUAUAGCAUGGAUAAUAAACGAUUAUCAUGAACAAAGAAACAUAAUAAUAACUAAUUUAUUAUUGCCUCUAGGGCAUAUUUCCAACAGACCGGAGGGGCGGAGCCGCGGAGGGCAGAUGGCUAGGGCGCCGGAGCCGGAGCGCGAUGGAGCGGGGGAGCCGGGGCCAGAUGGGACGAGGGGAGCCGGGGAGGACCGGCGGUCGCGGCGACCGGCGGGGAGGCGCCGAGCAACGGCGGCCCGGCGGCCGAGCGCGAGCCCUAGCGGGGAGCAGGUUGCGGCGUCCUCUAUGUUAGGAAUUAAUUAAAUGUAUUAAUUAAUGGGAUAAUCCCUGCGUUGCCGGUUGCCUUGUUUUAGCAACCGUUCCUUGUAAACCGCCUCUGUAACAGGGGUAUAAAUACCCACAUCUUCAAUCAAUGAAAACACUGUUCCAUCAUUCUGUCACUUUCACUACUUUACACGUUAUCAGCGCUCGCUCUGCCGAGAGCGACAGAGAGCCAAGAGAAAGGUGAGAAUGGCAGGGAGAGAUUUGUCCUCGCUUGCUUUUGCUUUCGCACGUUUCCUGCAGAAAGAAGACAGCCGCUUCACUCGCACGCAGCGCCACCGCAUUGCACGUCGCCGUCAGGGUCUUGGUGCAAGGAAUGGCCCUCGCCGCCGUUCCUUCACCAGGAACCACCGCCAGAACCGGAGUGGCCCUCAUCGCCGCUUCUUCGCCGGGAACCACCGCCAGAACCGCCGCCGUGGGGCCAUCAGCGUCGUUCCUCGAAGAAGAUGUGAUGUUCCCCUGUGAACUUGCGCCGCCGCCUCUUCCUCCAUACUGCAUGCAGCACGGAUUCGGGCCAUGCCCUGCGCGCACGGAUGGCCACGUCCCGGAGCUGCCAUCCCCGACGCCGGCAGCGGCAGCACACACCGGCCCCGUCCCGGAUCUGCCAUCUCCGACACCGGAUCGAGAGGAACGAGGCGGUUAUCCCACCAUCCCCAUCUUGAACAUCCAGAUCAAGGUUGAAGAAGAGGGGAUGGAGGCCAUGGGCUCGUCGUCGUCGCUCCGCCCUCCAUCACCGGCGAUACCUCCUCCUCCUCCGGCUCCGCCCCUUCCGCUGACGCCACCGCCGGAAGCUCGCCGGAUCCUGUGCUAGUUCGCCGCUGCUAUGGCGCAGAACCGGGCGGCUCUUCGUGGCGCGUGGUCGCCGGACGCCCUGGGCUUCGCCGGCGCACCGGAGGCAAGCAGCAGCGGGAGUAGCCGGGCUGCGCUGCGGGGCCAGCCCCGUUUUCCUUGAAGCAGCCAUGGGGAGAGGAGGCUGGAGUUGUGAGGUGUUUGGGUCUGCAUCGGGAAGAAGAUGGGAAACAGGAGAGAAGUGGCUGUGUGGCCUCGGCUUGCUGCCUUGCUCUCUCCCUUAUCCAUUUCUCCAACCGGUAUAUGGUCCAACACAGGCCACGUCCACUCCAAACUCCAAGCCACGUUUUCCUCUCCAAAAGGCCUACAAGCCACGUUUCCUCUUCAAAAGGCAUACAGGCCAGGAAAUAAAGUGACUAUUAGCGUUGUGUUUUAAUCAUAGUACUACUAUGCUGCAAUUACUAUAUUGCACUGCAGAUUGUUCCUUUUUAUUUCAGUGUGAUAUGUUAUUGUAUUAAGAACCUCUCCUUAUCAUAUUCACUCGGUAUUGUACUGUAGUAUGAAUACUUAGAUUGUAUAUUGUCUAAAAUAAAGUCUCAGAUUAUGUGUACAUAUUCUAUAUAAUUGCCUCAGCAAUUUUCAUUUUUUUAGAAUAUGUAGUUUUCAAGUACAAUUUUUUUUUAAUUCAAAUUUUUGGGAUCACAAGGUAGAUGAGGCAUCUACUGCAUUUUGCAGAUUAUCCUCAUCGCUGAAAGAUCUACAUUUUGCCUUCGUUAUUUUGGCAAAAUGACUAUCUUCGAGUGCUCUCCCGAAUAUGCGAAUUAAUGUGACUACCUCAAAUUUUUACAAAUCACAAGGUAAUUGUGUGAUCUACUGCAUAAUUUGCAGAUUAUCCACUCUUGCUGAGAGGUCUACAUCUAGUCUUUUGACAAGAUGACUACCUUCAAAGUGUUUUUGUAAAAUAUAGUAUGACACAAGGUAAUGGACUACGAACAUCUACUGGUCAAAACCAGACUAUGUUCUCCACUACUAUGAGAUCUACACCCCAACGGUGAAUAUUUUCGAAGUGUCAUAUACAUAAAAUGAGGUCUACACAUAAAGCAUCAGCUAUACUUGAAAAUUUUGCUUCCUAAAGCAUUUGUUGUAACUUAUAUUUUACUCUCAUAGUAAAACUAAAUUAUGCAUGAAAAUACCAUGCAGGAAAUGGCUGGUGUCAUGCAUCGUGAAUUUCAUGAACUUGAACUAGAUGGUAGUAUCUAUUUACCAUGGGCUAUGGAUGCAAAGAUAGCCCUCGAAAGCCGUAAACUCGGUUUCACUAUCACCACACCCGUUGAAGGCGCCGGAGAAAUCCCCACGGCAGCCAAAUAUAGAGCUUUAAGUUUCUUAAGGCACCAUCUCCAUUCAGACUUAAAGUCGGAAUAUUUGAUGGAAGAAGAUCCACUGGUUUUGUGGAACUCUCUCAAGGAGAGAUAUGACCAGCAAAGAGCAGUCAUGCUGCCAGAAGCACAGAGAGAAUGGUCCCUCAUAAGGUUCCAAGACUUCAAAUCUGUGGCAGCAUAUAACUCUGCAGUUCACAAGGUUAACUCAAAACUAAGGUUUUGCAAUCAAGAAAUUUCUGAAGAAGACCUUAUUGAGAAGACCUUGUGCACUUUCCACCCCUCGAUGAGGGUACUACAAUAGAAGUACCGUCAACAAAAAUACAAAAAGUAUUCUGAGCUCAUAUACACUUUACUUCAGGCUGAGAAACAUGAUGAACUUCUCAUGAAGAAUCAUCAGACACGCCCAACGGGCUCAAUGCCACUCCCUGAAGCACAUGCUAACACUCAGUUUACUAAAAAGUAUGGGGGCAACAAAAAGAAUUUCAAAAAAUUCAAUGGAAAGUGGAAAAGGAACAACAAGCAGAAAAGCUUUGGUCAAUCUAAAGGUAAAGGUCACUUCAAGAAAAAUGACCGAAACACCAACUCCGAGAUUUGUCAAAGAUGUGGAUGUACUAACCAUCGUACUAGUAAAUGCCGAACUCCCAAGCAUCUAGCGGAUUUAUACAUCAAAUCCACUGGGAAAGGCAAACAAGUUCAUGGAAAAGCCGAAGCUCACUUCAACGCCUUACAACAAGAAGAAAACCUUGAAGCUAGCACUUCUCAAAGCGCUCCUAAGGAAACAAGGCAGAAGGAUGAAGAUCUUCUUGAUGUUGGCAACAUGAUGGUGGAAUACACCCAAGACGCAUAGAGAUCUUAUAUAAUCUCCACAUCACUCAUUUGAUGUUAUCAACUAUUUUAUUGUAAUAAUGGAUGUUAUAAUUUGUAUAACUCUAAGUAGAAUAAAAGUCCUACGGACCAAUCGUAUUAUGUAAUUCAAACAUAAUGUCAUAUUUAUAUUUGUAACUGUAAUAUGAAUACUUUGUAUGUAUAUAUUUAUAUGUGAGUAAUAUGAAUAAAGUUUCAUCCUAAAAUAUUCUUUUACUCUAUAUAGAUUUUACGGGAAAAUAAUCCAAUGGAAGAAGAAUUAUGUUUGGUGGACAGUUGUACCAGUAACACAAUAUUAAGGGAAAUAAAAUAUUUCCAAACUCUAACUAAGAGAAAAGGGAAUAUUAUGACCAUUGACAGUCGCGAUGCGUCGAUUAUUGGUUCAGGACGAGCCACACUCGUUCUACCUAUGGGUAGUACAAUUGCAAUUGAGGAUGCACUAUUGUAUCCUCAAUCUACACGCACUCUUCUAAGUUUCAAAGACCUCAGAUCAAAUAACUUCCAUUUGGAAACAAUAUCUGAAAAUAAUUUUGAACAUUUGCUUUUAACAAAGAGUAAUGGGUCUGAGAAACAAAUUCUUGAGAAAUUCCCCUCACUUUCAUCUGGAUUAUAUUACAGUUAUAUAAAACCCGUACCACAUGUUGCGUACAAAAUAAUUUUUCAAGAUCUUGAUAAAUUCAAGACUUGGCAUGAUCGCCUAGGUCAUCCUGGCGUAGGGAUGAUGACAAAAAUUAUUGACAAUUCUAUUGGUCACAGCCUUCCAACUAUAAAUUUCCCAAAAUCAUCAGAUUUUGUGUGCACCGCAUGUGCAACUGGAAAAUUAAUUAUAAAACCAUCUUAUCUUAAAGUUAAAAAUGAGUCAUUAAAUUUUCUUGAACGCAUUCAAGGAGAUAUAUGUGGUCCAAUUCAAGCACUAUCAGGACCUUUUAGAUAUUUCAUGGUGCUCAUAUAUGCAUCUACUAGAUGGUCACAUGUGUGUCUAUUGUCCACACGAAAUCAUGCUUUUUCCAAGCUAAUUGAUCAAAUUAUCAAAUUAAGAGCAAAUCAUCCUAAAAAUAGGAUAAAAACAAUUCGAAUGGAUAAUGCCGCUGAAUUUUCUUCACGUGCAUUCAAUGACUAUUGCAUGGCUAUGGGCAUUCAUUUAGAACAUUUUGUGCCUUAUGUUCAUACUCAAAAUGGUUUGGCUGAAUCUCUCAUCAAAAGAGUAAAAUUAGUUGCUCGACCACUAUUACAGAAUUGUAAUUUACCAGCAUCAUGUUGGGCACAUGCGGUAUUACACGCCGCAGAUCUGAUACAAAUCAGACCAACUGCAUAUCAUACAACCUCCCCGCUACAACUAGUACGUAGCACUCAGCCAAGUAUUUCCCAUCUACGAAAAUUCGGUUGCGCAGUAUACGUACCGAUAUCACCACCGCAGCGUACAUCCAUGGGCCCCCACAGAAAACUAGGGAUCUAUGUGGGUUAUAACUCUCCGUCAAUAAUAAAAUAUCUUGAACCUCUUACAGGGGACCUGUUUACUGCCCGCUACGCUGAUUCAAUUUUUGAUGAGGACCAUUUUCAGGCAUUAGGGGGAGAAUCAAACCACAAAGAAUGCCAGGAAAUAGAUUGGAAUGUAACAGGCAUUCAGUCCUUAGAUCCACGUACUAAAGAAUCUGAAACUGAAGUUCAGAGGAUCAUAGAUUUGCAACAUAUUGCAAAUAAUCUGCCAGAUGCAUUUACUGACCAUAAAGGUGUCACUAAAUCACAUAUUCCCGCUGUUAAUGCACCAGAACGAGUGGAGGUACCAACUAAAACCACUCAAACCACAAAUGAGAGUAAGAGGGGGAGAAAUCUGGUUAGUCGGAAUAUAGCUUCUCAAAAGCCUCCGCGGAAACAGAGGAAAUCAAAUCCUCUACCAGUAAAUGCAAUUCAACCUCAAGUUGAAGGACACCAACCAGAUGCUCAACAUCUUGAACCUAGCAUAAAUGCGCAUAAAAACAUAAUUGCUGGGACAUCGGAACACCAUGGUUCUAUUGUUGUGGGAAAUCACAUAGAGUCUGAAGGUAUAAAAGAAAUUUCCAUAAACUAUACAGAAUCAGGAGAAUCAUAUAAUAGAGAGACUACAAUUGUCGACAUAUAUUUCGCCUCUAAAAUUGCUGAAACCCUUCAACUGGAUCCAGAACCAAAGACCGUCAGGGAGUGCCUCAAGCGUCCUGAUUGGCCUAAAUGGAAGGAAGCAAUUGAGGCAGAAGUGCGCUCGCUCAACAAAAGAGAGGUAUUUUCCUCGGUAAUACCUACUCCUCAUAAUGUAUUCCCUGUUGGAGCAAAAUGGGUUUUUGUUCGAAAAAGGAAUGAAAACAAUGAGGUGGUGAGAUACAAAGCGAGGCUUGUAGCACAAGGGUUCACGCAGAGGCCCGACAUCGAUUACGAUGAUACAUACUCUCCUGUAAUGAGUGGAAUAACGUUUCGAUACUUAAUAUCUUUGGCAGUACAAAUGAAUUUAUCUAUGCAGUUGAUGGAUGUAGUGACAACAUACUUAUAUGGGUCACUCAAAUCGGACAUAUAUAUGAAAGUCCCUGAAUGACUUAAAAUGUCGAAUCCAAAAGAAAAUCGCAACGCAUAUUGUGUAAAAUUACAAAAGUCACUAUAUGGCUUAAAACAAUCGGGUAGAAUGUGGUAUAACCGACUGAGUGAGUUCCUUAUUCAAAAAGGCUACUCAAAUAAUGAUGAUUGCCCUUGUGUAUUGAUAAAGAAAUCCUCAAAUGGAUUUUGCAUCAUCUCAGUGUACGUUGAUGACCUCAAUAUCAUGGGAAGUACACCUGAUAUCGAAGAAGCACACAAUCAUCUAAUGGCGAAUUUGAGAUGAAAGAUUUGGGAAAGACCAAAUUCUGCUUAGGCUUACAGCUUGAGCAUCUUCCCUCGGGAAUUUUAGUAUACCAACCUGCAUAUAUUCAAAAGGUUUUGGAAAAUUUUAAUAUGGAUAAAUCAUAUCCAACCAAAACACCCAUGGUUGUCAGAUCCCUUGAUAUGAAUAAAGAUCCUUUUAGACCUCGGGAUGAUGACGAAGAGAUAUUAGGACCUGAGUUCCCGUAUCUCAGUGCCAUUGGUGCGCUAAUAUACCUUGCAAAUUGCACCAGGCCUGAUAUUGCAUUUACAGUAAAUUUACUAGCUAGACAUAGCGCUGCUUCAUCAAAACGUCAUUGGACGGGAGUAAAGAAUAUCCUUAGAUAUUUACAUGGCACAAAGGAUCUUGGCUUAUUCUAUCAGAAAAACCAAGAUAUGACUAUGGUAGGAUAUACUGAUGCUGGCUAUCUAUCUGAUCCUCACAAUGUCAGGUCACAAACAGGUUUCGUAUUCUUAUAUGGUGGAACUGCUUUUUCAUGGAAGUCAACAAAACAGACUCUCCUAGCAACCUCCACUAAUCAUUCUGAAAUUGUUGCAUUAUUUGAAGCAUCUAAAGAAUGUGUAUGGCUUCGCAGGAUGAUUAACCAUAUUCAAACUUCAUGUGGUGUUGGUUCAUUAGGAUCACCAACUAUUAUAUAUGAAGAUAAUGCAGCCUACAUUGCUCAAAUGCAAAUGGGUUAUGUAAAAAGUAAUAUCACAAAACAUAUUUCUCCUAAGUUAUUCUAUCCUCAUGCAUUACAGAAGGAUGGAGAAAUUGAUAUUUUACAAACUAAAUCAUGUGACAAUCUAGCAGAUUUGUUCACAAAGUCUUUACCAAAUUCAACGUUCCAGAAAUACAUUCAUGGAAUUGGUAUGAGAUGAUUCCGAGAUUUGCAAAGUUCAGGGGGAGAAAUCUCCUGAAAAUAUAACCCUUUAAUUAUCAUCAGGUAAUGAAUAUUGUACUCUUUUCCUUUAUGAGUUUUUCCAACAGGUUUCUCAUAUAAGGUUUUUAACGAGACAAUUAAAUACAAGUAUUGAUGCAUGCCAUAUCAUAUUUCUCCUUAUAUUUUUCCUACUAGGUUUUAAAGGAGUUUUUUAUGGCACAUCUCAUUGCACUCUUUUCAUUAUGAGUUUUUUUGACAUUUUCUCUCAUAAUGUUUUUAAUGAAGCAAUAUCUUAUCAAUGAUCAUAUAUCAUACUUUCUAUUUUCCCUAUCGGGGUUUUAAAGGAAGUACUCAAGACAUAUAUUGUUCUCUAAACUCAAAAAUGAGUUUUAUCCCUAUAUAAAGGUUUUCUCAAAUGAGUUAUCAUGAGGCAAUAAUCAUUAUAUGUUGCACAAUUUUUUCCUUAUUAUUUUUCCACUGGGUUUAAAGGAGUUUUAGCAACAUAUCUACACUAUUGUCCUUAUAUUUUUUCCACAGGGUUUUUGGAGGAGACUUUAAAGAUUAUACAACGACUUUUCAAGAUGAAGAUGAGGAACAUUCUUAAAGAGAAAAAUUUACAAGGAUUAUUAUUUAUCAAGAUGAUGCACAUUUACACAGACAAGCAUGGAUUAGGGAGAGUGUUAGGAAUUAAUUAAAUGUAUUAAUUAAUGGGAUAAUCCCUGCGUUGCCGGUUGCCUUGUUUUAGCAACCGUUCCUUGUAAACCGCCUCUGUAACAAGGGUAUAAAUACCCACAUCUUCAAUCAAUGAAAACACUGUUCCAUCAUUCUGUCACUUUUACUACUUUACACUCUACUCCGUUCGUUGCCUCUCUCGCGGGAUGGGAAAGGGUGUGGUGGGCCACCAGGGCUCAGGCAAAAAAAAUUAUAUGCAUAUUAAAAAAAAAUCCUGGGGGUCUGGGUGUGCUGUGGCACACCCGCUGGGUCCGCCGAUGUCCGAAAGGGUAGAUUUCCUUCUUUUUUUACUGAUGAGAUAAGAGGAAAGCGGGGGAUGGACCCAUCGUCUACAUGCACACGCGUUCGUGCACCGGACCGCACCAUCAGAAAUCGUUAUGUACCAACAGAACAUAUGUGCAGUGUAUCGUGAUCACGUAUAAUACUGUCCCAUCAUCUAUAUCUUUUGCAGCUUAUACGAUGGCACUAAAUAUAUAUGCAUUGACGCGUCGUUGUUUUGUUUGUCUACAUACCGAGAGCAAGCGAGCUCGUGUGCUCUAUCCUCGCUCUCGAUAGUGGCUAGGCCAUUCAACCUCCAUGGCUAGCAGUCUAGACUUCACACUGCGGCAGCAAGCUAAAAGCAACUCCAACAAUUUCUCUGAAAUCCUUUCCGUAAAAGUGCUUUUACACGAUGUUUAUACAUUUUAGGGAAAGUUUUCUCAAAGUUAAUUUUGCCACAUCCCAUAAAGCUUGCCUAGUUUCUUGUGGUUUCAGCCGUGCAUGUAUAUUUAACUGUUGGUUUCUUGUGGUUUCAGCCGUGCAUGUAUAUUUAGCUGUUUUUUUUAAACGACUUUGCCUCAUCUUAUUAAUAAAGAAGAAGAGAGUUGCCCGAUUGAUUAAUGAAAAACUGGGCGAAAAUCAUUACAACACGUUCACACAGGACACACACGGCGACCUGACAACCCACAUAAAAACGCACACACGUAGCCGAGGAGAGAACACCGUUGAGGCUGCAAUCCGGUUUCAUCGCCAUCACACCUGCAAGGACGACUCCGACUCCAUCAUCGACGACCAUCAAUAUAAAAUAUAGCCCUCACCGUAAGCAAACGCCGAGGCCCACGCCGACCCCUUCCAAACAGUCAACCGCACACACCAACUACCAGACAGCUCCGACUCUGUCGACGAGAAUUGUAGGAGAAAAGCACUUAGCCUUAGCCGAGCCAGGGCUAGAACCGACCACCCGCCUUGCGUCAUUGUCGCCGCAUGACGCGAGACCCCUCCUCAACAGCUCCGACUCCAGGAAGACAAACUGAGGUGCAGCAACCCCCCCCCNGAGACCGACUACCAAAACUCAACAACAAACCAAUUCCGCCAGAAGCCACCAUUGUCACCGCACAAGAAGUUGCGCCAACCACAUCACCAGUCGGGCACCUGCCGACCACGAUGUCAUGUGUGUCCAGCUCCGUGAAAGCACGAAGGAAGCCAAUGACCCUCAAGGCAAUGCCCCCAAAGGGAUAGAGCGACGUGGGAGAACGACGCCAUCACCCGACUCACAUCCGAGUCUUUGGCUUUCGCCCGAUGGCAAUGGUCCGAAGGUGUUAGGCAAGGAAAGGGUCCACAAUGACCCUCAGGCAAAUUGUUACAUUUGUUGCAAAAUAAACAUAUGCACAAAAAUGCUCAUAUUUGCAAGAUAUGCCAGUAGAACAAAGCAUCGUGCAAGAUAUAACAGGAACGGAUGCAUUGAACAUCAAAAUCUUGGCCCAGACAUUCUUUUGUGUAACAUAAGCGCCACACACAGCGGUUCUAUGCAUAUCAAACUGAAACAUUUACCAUAUAGUAAAAUGUGACGAAAACAUUCUCUGCAUCAUCAUAUGAACAAUAGGAGAGAGCGAAAAGUUCCCAUGUCAGCCUUUUUGCCAACACUGAUGAAACAAGCACUGUGUUCAAGUAAACGACAAACAGACCUCAGCUCAGUCAGUUUGUAGAUGCAGACAUGGGCCUGCUGGUGCCUAAGCUCAGUGCCUAAUCAACCCCUAAGCAGCAGCAGCUCAUCAUAUAGCUGGAUCUUCUAAGUCAGCGGUGGACAAGUUAUUGAUUCGUGGAUACGCUGCCUUUUCGCUCAACUGGUUUUGAGUCCAAAUCAACAUCUUCAACAGGCUGGGGAGUUUCGGAUCUGCCAACAUGAACACAAAGAUCAAGGAUCUUCAAUAAAACAAAAAAAUCUGGCACAAGCAUGCUAGCAGUUUGAAAAAGCCCAAAGACAGCAACGAAACUUUCAUUCUGCUUAAAAUGUAUGAAUCGAUGGUACAAAAUCAAAACAAAGGCUUGCACAUCAUGCACUACUGAGGUGAAAAAGUUUGAAUUUCCGUGUUGCGAAUGUGAAUUUUAUUUUAAAAACUUGAAAAUAUUCAUCAUGAUUUCUUUCACCACAUCUCAAAAGAUUUUCAACAAGUAUCCCUACGCAGUUAUUUGACCUAUGUUUAUCAGUGUUUUCAAUAUUGAUUGCUGGUCACGCAUUAUCAGCUCAUGGGUUACCUGUUUUGAGCAUGACCGUACCUGCUUAUAUUAAUAUUAAGUCAGGUAACCUUUUGGUACAUCUAGUUUAAAUACACCAUGUUUUUGUUCAUAUUUCAGGAUAAAUAUAUACACUUGUCAGUCUGAUUUCCUUCUACCAAAGGGUUGCUUAUUCUAAAAUAAGGAAAUUGCUAUCAUUUCAUAUGGCACAGGCAUACAGGUACGCUUCAGUGACGAUAUACCAUAAAAAAGGUAAGCAAAUAAAAAGGGUAUCACAACAUAUACAUGCCUUAGUACGUACCUUUCUCAUGGCUUUGGCUUGUAAGAAUGGCAGCGUUAACUUCACUUGCUGUCUUCAAACGUUGAGAAACAUCCAGUAGUUCCCCGUAUGGGCAGUUUUUUACAUCUUCAAAAACCAAAAGCGCUACAGUUUUCUCUAUUUCCUCGAGAAAGGCUUCCUGCAAAAUUUCACAGACCAAAAGUAAGGUCACAGAAUGGUCUUAAAUGCAGUGGUAUUAACGGAAAAAAGUCAGCUAACAGGAGGAAUUGCAUUUUGAUUGAUGCAAUUUUGAACCCUGACUCUUAACUAAGGUAAGGGAGAUAAUUUGUUUCACUAAAAAUUACAUUUUCUUCGCCUCUUGGUGCGAGUUCUUCUUGAGCAAACUCCAAAGCUUCAGGUAUUUUCCCCACACGAAUCAACUCUAUCAGCUUUUGUUGCUGCAGAUGGAAGUAUAAUUCGGGAUUCGUAUCCAGAAUCUGCAUGUCAUAAGUUGAGUCAGGAUAGCAAGUCAAAAUUUAAUGAACCCCACUAUGAAAAACGCACAAUUGGAAUCUCGGUUAUAUAGAACUAACACAAAACUUCACUCAGCAGUAUACGAUAGAUCUAAAUAUACCACCGGCUGAAAAACGAGAAAAUGUAGUUUUCGCAAUCAAACGUAGAUGCAAUUUCUGAUACGCAUAUACCUAAGUUUCACAUAGAAAAAGAACAACUUCUAACCAAAAAACAAGCAUGGUCCAAAGACAAACCACAUCUAUCACCAGUACUGGAUUAACAAUUUGGUCUACUGUGACAUGUGAAAUUAAUUAUUGUUACACCAUUGCUCACCAGCAACACAUAAUGCAGAACCCAGAAUGUCCUUAGCACAUAGAUACAGCGAAGUGCCCAGAUACUGCAAGAUCAUCGCCCCCUUCUCCAUUCUUACUAAAAUUCUAAGCAACAAAUGCAGUCUUUCUUUUUCCUUCUGAAAGAAAGGGGUUUCCCCCCAGCCCCCACUUUAAUUAUGCAAUGGCCAAAACCGGACACAAAAGCAGUUUUCUUAAUCAAACAAAGAUGUAAUUUCUGAACCGCACAUUCAUAAGUUCUACUCAGAAAAAUAACAACUUGUAGCAAAAAGCAAGUAGGGUCCAAAGGCAAACCAAGUCGAUCAUCGGUACUAACACUUUGGUUAUUUCUCAGAUCUGAAAUUGGUUGUUACAUCAUCAGUUCAUCACCCACCAGUUAUCAGUAAACAUAAUGUGGAACCCCUAUGGUCGUUAUCACAUAUAUACAGGCAUACAGCAAAAUUAACCAAAACUGUCUCCUCCAAUCUUGUACUUUCCAGAAUCCAGAUAGCCCAACACCGAAAUAGGAACUGAAUUUGGGAGAAUGAGGGGCAGAAUGGAACCGUGGGGUUGAGAUCGUUGAUCCUCUCGACGGCCUCCUGGAUGUUCCCCGACUGAACCGCCUUCUUCACCUCCAUCCGGUCGGUGAUGGUCGCCAGGUCGAUCUCCGCUGCAACACGAAACCGCGCAUCGAUCAGACCUUGCACAGGGUGCCGUCACUAGGACAGCGAGCGAGAGGGGCUCGAGCUCGAUGCGUGUAGGCAAAGGCGUGGCGUACGGUACGUUGGGUGCCGGACUCGAGGCGGAAGCGGUGGGCGGCGUCGACGAGGCCCUCGGUGACGAGGAAGUUCAUCACGAGGCGGUUCAUGUCCUCCUUGCGGAUCUUGGCGUCCCGCAGCUUCCCCUCCCACUCGUCGCGCGUCACCACCUUCUUCGAGGUCGCCAUGGAGGGCGCGGGGCAGGAGCUGACUGCGCCGCGACGACGGGGAGAGGGAAACGGCGAGGGCAACAACGCGCGCGUGAGGCGGAGGUGUUUGGGGGCGUGGGGUGUGGGCGGGAGGGGGCGUCGGCGGUGAGGUACGGCGCGGCGGCGGGGCAAGGGCAGGCGGCGGUGGAGCGUGGAACCGUCCUGGGCUGGGUUAGGUUGGUAGGGUAAAACGAUGGUGGUUAUUAGGUUGGUAAUUUUCCUAUUCUUUCACAGGACGGGCCGGGCCUACCACCUGUACUUAACCGAUUUUCUUUUCUUUUUUCUGCUUUCCGUUUUCUGGUUUCUUUUUCUGUUUUUUCUCAAAUAACCAAAAAAAUAAAAACUAUGUUUAUUUAUUUUACUUAAAUUAUUGUUUUGGUAUUUGUGUUAAUAGUUUAUUAUUGCUUUGCUCAUCAGAUAAAAAAUCAAAAACAAAUGUCAGGUAUUAUUUCAAAAAACAUAUAAUGUGUAUGCAAAAAAUAAUGAUUUUUUACAAAAUAUAACAUGUGUAAGUAAGUAUUAAUAUAUUUCCAGAAAAUGUUCAUUGUAUAUUCUACAAAUCCGUAGCACGUAUUUUCAACAAUAUGAAGCCCAUAGUAAAAGGUUAUCUUAUAUUGAAAUUUUAAAAAAGCGCACCCUGUGUAAAAAAAAUUAAUCAUGUAUUUUUUAAUGUUCAUCGUGUAUUUAAGAAAUGAUCUUAAUUUGUUCUUCAGAGGUUGAUGUGUAUAUAAAAAAUGUCAUCACAAAUUUCAAAAUAUUCAUAUUUUUAUACAAAAAAGAGUCUCCAUGUAUUUUCACUAAAUUUAAGAACUUUGCUUUCAAAUUAUUAGAAAUCUUUUGAAACAGGCUCCUGGUGUGUCCCAGUACACAUUCGUCGUAGCCAAUAUAAGCUUCUACCUCGCUACAACCUGCAACGUAUUUGAGAGCAACUAAUGGACAAGCACCCCUUCGAAAGCCUCCGAAGGAUCAUGCAGAGAGCGCGUCGCUUGGCGCACUCUCAGCGUCCGCCACAUGUCAUGCUCUGGAGGCUACCUCUGUAUAUUUUUCUUUUAUUUUAUUUUGCAUNGUGACAGGCACAGAUUUCCUUUCGUGAAAGGCAUGAAUUUGCUUCCGUGAAAGGCAUGAUCAUCCCUUUCGAAAACAAAAAAAUGUAUAUUUUUCUCUUUCAUGAGAGGCAUUGUUGUGCCUCCUUUUUGUCUCUGUUUUUCUUUGUAUUUUCAUGAAUUUUGUUUUGUCAAAAACUAUUUAAAAUUGAUCCAUUUUGAUAAAAUCUCAACACGUGAAUUCCGACAAUGAAAAUGGUUCAUGAUUUAGAAGCAUGGUUCAAAAAAUAAAAACAUUUUUAAAAAGUGAAUCUAAAAGAAUCAUAUUGAGACAAAUGGCGCAUAUACAAUACACUACUUGCGAAGGCGACAAAAGAUAAUAAUGACCUUUGCAAGCGGUAUCCUUUAGUUUUUACUAUGGAAAAUCGAUGCGUUAAGACAACGACGGAUCCAACAACGACCAACCGAGCAUCAGAUAGCUCAGCCCACAUGGCCCUAAUAUGCAAUGACUAUAGCUCACUGGGAGAUGAGAUGUCCAUAGCUCCUAUUUGGCGCGUAAGCUGUUGUAUAGUGACCUUGCGCAUAUACACCCCACCCCCUGUGCGGUGAUGCGCAGCUGACCAGUGUAUGGAUCGGCCCGCUCUGGUUUUGUCCAUGCAAAAGGGUCUAGAACAUACAUGGAAUUUGUUUUUUCUCUCUUUUUCUAGUUUUAUUUCUUUCAUCUUUUAUGUUUUCCUUAUGAUUUAUGUUUCUAUUUUUUGUUGUUGUUGUGUUUGUUUUUAUUUCUUUUUAUUUUUCUUUCUUUUUUAUCUCGCGAACAUAUUUCAAAUUCCUUAUCAUUGCUUGAAAUAGUGAAUCAUUUUAAAACCAUAAACAUUUUUCGAAUUGGAGACCAUUUUAUAGAAACCAUGAACAUUUGUUUGAAAUAGUGAACAUUUUUUACAAACUCAUAGACAUCUUCUCAAGUCAUGUUCAUCGUGUAUUAAAAUAAGUGUUUUGUAUAUAAGAAUUUAUAUGAUUUGUUGAAAAUGUUGCCUGGGUAUUUGAAAAAAUAUUAUUAUGUAUUCAAAAUAUUGAACAUGUAUUUAAAAAUGUUUAUCUUGUACUGUAAAUGUUCAUCAUGUAUUAAACAAUGUCCAUCAUAUAUAUAUAAAUUACUUACCAUGUUUUUUGAAAUAGUUGACAUAUUAAAAAAACAGUCAUGCAACGGCUAGUUCCGCAUCACAAUAUGCCCGGCGUCCUAACAUCAAUAGUGAUUAUCUUUGGUGGGCGCACAUGCAUGAUUUUAGAAAGAUACGUUGUCUAGAUAAUGUUUGAAACACACCAGGGGUUGAAAUCAUGGCCUGUGUUGGUAGGGCUCAACAGAUGCGGACUUGCGUCGUUAAUUUAUUGAAGACGUUGUCUCAGUGAUGGCGCUGGCGGUGGCGGUGGCGAGGUGUAUCAUUUUACGAAGACGUUGUCGCGGAAGAAGUUGACCUAGUCCUAGGUGGUACAUCCAUAUAUUGUACUCCCUCCGUCUCAUAAUGUAAGAGUGUUUUUCGAUACAUGUAAAAAAAACGUUCUACCAUUAUGGGACGGAGAAAGUAAUGCUUAUGCGGUCUUUGAUUUUUUUGAUUUUUUGUAUGUACUUCAUUUUUUUGAUCACUUUGACCUUGCUCCUUUGUGUUAACUUAAAUAAAAGAUGGUUGCCUGUAUCAGUUGUAGAUGUAAGGGGGUUCCAACUCCACCUUCAUGAGAAAAUACAUCUCACUUUCUGUUUGUUUUUUUUUUUGUUUUUUUUUUUUACUAUCUAGUCUAGGAUAAAAGAACCUCUCACUAAGACUGGAACUAUUUUGGCAUCCCCAAUGGCACAAGUACGGGGGGAAUUAUGAUCGACGACGCACAAAGGAAGGUCAAAGGCUCAGCGAGUUAGUUAAUCCAGCAGCAGCAAUGAGCAUGUGCUUCUUCGCUUCUCUUGCUUUGCUGCUGUUGGAAUAACAAAACAUGAGUCUUAAAGUAGAGCUACAAAAUGGGAGCCCAGAUGCUGCUGCGCCUGCACAUGGACGAAUCGGCGGCACCGACAGAACGGAGUACUCCAUCCUACGUAGGGUAUGCUCGAUCGUGCUGGCCAUGUACUCGAUGAACAUAAUGUAUGUAGUACGUGUACGUACGUAUAAGGAUUCCACGCAAAUGGUACUGAGUAUUAAGAAGCGACUAGAUUAGUUAAGGUAGCUUAAUCAGCAUUGUACUUGAUUAGUUAAGGAUGGGCCCUUCCCCACGUACGUACGCAGCAGCUUCUAAUCAAGUGCGAUUAAGCCAAGUGAUCCACGGCCGAGAGGGUUUUGUCUGAUGCGAGAGCUGGCGACCGUGCCCUGUCAGUUUUGUCUGAUGCGGGUCUUUUCCUAUAUAAUCGAAUCGCAGAUUGACACUUUUCUGCCGAAAGAAAUGCAGGAGCUGGGCAGUAACCGGGCCUACAAGCAGUUUGCAAAUCUCUACUAAUAAAGGGGGCAGUUGGUAGCUGGAUCUCACCGGUUUAAUUUCGUCACUGGUUAAUUUUCGUCCACCUCUACCUGGUUAUUUUUCGUCCACCUCUACCUGGUUAUUUUUCAUCUCUCUUUCCACCAACUGUUGUUUUUUUUUUUUGUCUCUCCUUCCACCAAAGGAUGGUUUUUUUUCGUCUCUACUUUCUCAUCGGUUAAUUUUCGUCUCCUGAUUUUUGACCAGCCACCGGUUUAUGUUUCUAUCUCCUCCCGCAAAACAAAACUCUUUGCACAAAACAAACGCCAGUCCUCAUCCCGCACAGGGUUAGGGUUCCUGUGCCGCCGCCGCCGCGCUCCUCGACCUCCUACUGCCUUGCCCCUCUCUUCCCUCGACCUCCAGGAACCGCCACGCUCGACGAUCUCUUGCAGGCGGCCCUGCACCGGCUCCCGCCCGCGAACGUCGCGUGGGCGUCCUGCUUCUGCCGCCUCUGCCGCGCCGGCGUUUCCGACCGCGCCGUGCUGGAGGCCGCCUUCCAGGCGUGCUGGGGCGUGCGUCGCGACAACAAAGUGAACCAACGUCGUCCUCAACCGCCUCCUUCGUGAAUCGCCGACGUCGUCAAUCGCCUCCGUCCAUAACUAUCGCUGCCGGUUUGAACCAGCCGUCGCCGGUCAACCGCCGCCGUAAUUGCCUUCUGUUUUCUCUAACUAAUCUAGGUAUUUGUACAGACCUAUGUACGCCCUUUUGUCCGAAUACAUCUGAGCCGGAUCUACAUAUGGUGUCGGAUCUACAAAAUUUCAUACACAAAUAUAUGCCUCAAAUCUGCCUUACAGUACAUAUGGACGUUUUACGAGCGCGGGUGCAUCUGGAAAUUUCUUCGUCUCUUCAAACUUUACUCUGCAUACAACAAAUGACGACUUCCUUUAUCAAUAGCAGAUAUGUUUUCAAAAAAGUUUUCAUCGAAAAAACAACAAGGAGAAAGCUUUUUAGCAGGCAACACUGAUCUGGUUUAGUUUACCGCUCUUAAGCAUGCAUUCAUUGUAGGUAUGGGGAAUUCAAAAAGCAAGGCUAUUGGAGGUGACAACGUUUCAGAUGUCUCUACAGGUAUAUGCUACGCUAUGAAGUUAUAAGCUCUUCAAAAUGAAUUGUACCUACAAGUGUAUUCAUUUCAAUCAACUAUCCACAUUUUAUAUCGCCUAAUGAAUGGGUCUUUGUGGUCUCAUCCUAGCUAAUUUUGUAGUUAUUUAAUCCUUCCCUACAAGUUAAAUAUGUACCUUUUACCACUGUUCGGAACCUCAUGGAUCUUAUUCAGUUUAAAUAAUUUAUCCCUUACAACCACAUAUUUUUGAACUGCCAAAUAGUUUUACCUUGCAGCUUAUCAGUUCAUCUUCCGAAUAGGCAUCACUUUCCAAAGCAUCAUGUAAUUCAUUAAUCUUUCCACUGGCAUAUGAUUUACCAAUAUCAGAAACCUGCAAGCACGGGUACUUAAGUCAGCCCAUAUUUCAAAUUGUGAUGCAAUGGUGCUCCAGUCGCACAGAUAAAAACUUUCUGAAUACAAUAACCUGAUCUACGGCUUCCUUGCAAAGUAGCAUUUUAUUUUUUACUUGCAGUAUGCAAAUAUUUGCGCUAAGAGUAUUAUACACCAUGUUAACUGCGACCUAUGAAACAUAACAGUAAGGGAGAAAUAUUACAGAUUCAUAUAUCUGAAAAUUUUCAGAAAGUGGCCAGUAUUUUUGUCAGGUUGGGCUGUUCUUCAGCAUUGUCUUCCAAGCAAGAGUAUGCUAAUUGCAUACUCUGAUUUGCACCAGAAGUACGAGCCUCGUCUGCGAAGGAGGAAUCCAUCACAGACAUGAAGUCCCUUUGUCUAAUAUUGUCAACUGCCUAUUAGAACAAAGCCAAGUCAAUCCUUUCCAUAGAUAAUGUUCAAAGUAACAUACCAGUAGUCAUAUAUUACUUCUAAUGAGAAGACACUGGUGUAAUUCCACAGCAAAAUCAGUUUCUGUAAUUAUGUUGAUGGAAUAGCUAACGUCGGAAAUGUACAAGAUCUGAUUGAGCUACCCAUUCAUUGUAGGUAUGGUGAAUUCAAAUAGCAAGGCUACUGAAGAUGACAAAGUUUCAUAUGUAGCUACAGGUAUAUGGUACGCUAUGAAGUUUACCUACAGGUGUAUGCAUUUGAAUCAACUUUCAUAAAUUAUCCUUCUAAGAUCCUGAACUUGAUGCGCACAUCAAUACCAUAAACUAAACGGAGACAAAAAUGCAGGUAAGGAAAACAGUGGUAACUUAUUAAAUAGGUAACAUCAAUCUUUACUGAUGUCUUGGAAUGAUUAGUAUCGGCUGUGAUUAUCGAUUAACUUGACGAGGAAUGGGCCUAUGGCCUUAUGCGAACCACUCGAAAAAUAUUAUGAGAGGAAUCCCAGAAUGUAGAUGUGGUGGACAAUCUCCGUGCAGCCUGCUCAACAUAUAAUCUGGAGCCUUUGUGGUCUCAUCCGAGCUAAUUUUGUAGUUAUUUAUUCGUUGCCUACAACUAUCACAUAGUAUUCAUUAGAAAAUCAUGAAGAUUAAUAGUGAACAACAUGAAACUAUGAAUAACAAACAAAUAAUGGUAGGAUUUCUCUAACAACUUGCUACAUAUAUGUUAGUAUCUCUACUCCUAAAGUGGCAGUUGCAAGCUUCUUAUACUGUCAAAUGGAACAGGUGAUUUUAUAGAUCAAGGCAUGCAUGCUGAUGAUGACGAUGCUGAUCAAAUUAAUAUAGAUGUGGCAAAUGUUGAUGAAUACAACGCAAAUGGCAUAGCCGUAGAUGACAAUGAUGACAAUGAAUACUCUACUGGACCAGGUAUUUGUUUUGCUAUAAAGUUCAGAUGUUCAUUUAUACCGCCUACUUGUAUGGGCCUUUGUGGUCUCGUCCGAGCUAAUUUUGUAGUUAUUUUAAUCGUUGCGUACAAGUUAAAUAUGUAGCUUUUACCAAUGUUCUCAACCUCAUGUAUCUGAUUCAUUUUACAGUUCAUAGUCAUGCAAAAUGAUGGAUCUGAUAGGGCUGACCAUUCAUUGUAGGUGUGGGGAAUUCAAAAAGCAAGGCUACUGAAGAUGACAUAGUUUCAGAUGUAGCUGCAGGUAUAUGCUACGUUAUGAAGUUAAGCUCUUCGAAAAUAUUAUGCUACAUGUCUCAUCCGAAGCUAGAAAAUUUAAAGAUGCCAAAUAUAAUGAUUUACUAAAAAACAAUAUACAUCUAUAAUCGUUAGCAUAGUUCUUGCAUAAUAUGUUUUUGAGGAUGAUGGAGUAUCUCUUGCUGAAAUAGCCACCCCAACUAACAUGACAGGAGGAGUUGUCUUGGAUAAUAGCAAAGAAACAAGACAAAUACCUCCAAUUGGCCGCAAAAAGGCUCCUACUGACGAACAAAGGGAUCGUAUAAACGCAAAGAGGCGGGCUUCUUAUCUGAAGAAGAAAGAUAUGCUUAACCCAAACGAGAAGACAACUCACCAAUCGACGACAGGUAAGAUUGUGAUAUGUUUCGUCAUUCUUUUUAGUAUGAAAAUGUGCUGCCUUAUUCUGGAAUGCUAACUCUCAUGUCGCAGGCCUCUUUAAUGAUAUCAGGAAUGUUCAUCAACCUUGCCAUGUGAUAGGAGGUACACUUUUCGUAUGAAAAUUUAUGUUUCAUCUUUUCGAUAGCACUACAUGCGUUAUUUUUCGUAUGACACCACGAGCUGACAUGGAAAGUAUUAAACAAACAAGGCAGACACCGGCAAUUGGACGCAAUGAAAUGUUGAGUGACGAAAAAAAUAAGCUUAUACCCUCAAACAUGCAAGCUUGUUAUGAUGCAUCGUUGUCGUUAUCAUGUACCCUUAAUCAAGAUGAAAAUGUGGAUCCCCUUACGAUAUCAGGUAGCCUUCUCAUCUAUUUUAAGUUUCAACCUAAUGAUAAAGCAUUAUACAUGGGUACUGUCUUUUUAGUAAAAUGGAUUGUUUCCUUUGUUCAAAUAGCUAACCCAACUAAUAUGACACACCAACUAACAUCACAGGAGGAGCUGUCUUGAACAAUAGCAAAGAAACAAGGCAAAUACCUCCAAUUGUCCGCAAAAACACCUUGACUGAAGAACAAAGGGAACAUAUAAACGCAAAGAGGCGGGCUUCUUAUCGGAAGAAAAAAGAUAUGCUUAACCCAGACGAGAAGACAACUCACCAAACGACGACAAGUAAGAUUGUGAUAUGUUUUGGUCAUUCUUUUUAGUAUGAGAAUGUGUUGCCUUAUUCUGGAAUGCUGACUCUCAUGUCACAGGGCUCUUUAAUGAUAUCGCGAAUGUUCAUCAACCUUGCCAUGUGAUAGGAGGUACACUUUUCGAAAACAGUCUAUGGGUUCUCUUAUGUAGGUUGUUGAUGGACGAUAAAAAUUUAUGUUUCAUCAUUAUGAUAGUACCACAUGCGUUAAUUUUCGUAUUACACCAGGAGGUGACAUGGAAAAUAUUAAACAACCAAGGCACACACCGCCAAUUGGACGCACUGAAAUGUUGAGUGACAGAAAAAAUAAGCUUGUAACCUCAAACAUGCAAGCUUGUUAUGAUGCAUCUUUGUCAUUAUCAUGUACCCUUAAUCAAGAUGAAAAUGUGGAUCCCCUUACGAUAUCAGGUAGCCUUCUUAUCUAUUUUAAGUUUCAACCUAAUGAGUUAGCAUUGUACAUGGGUACUGUCUUUUUAGUAAGAUUGAUUGUUUCCUUUGUUCAAAUAGCUAACCCAACUAAUAUGACACAAGAAGUUGUCUUGAAUAACACCAAGGAAACAAGGCAGAUACCUCCAGUUGGGCUCAAAAAAAAAUUGACGGACGAACAAAGAGAGCAGAUAAACGCAAAGAGGUGGGCUUCUUAUCGAAAGAAAAGAGAUAUGCUUAUAGGAGAUGAAAAUCUUGCUCCACAUACAAUGACAAGUAAGCUUGUGAUAUGUUUGUGAAUAUCGUAAUGAUUUAUGAAAUGUGAUUAUUUUUGGCAUAUGUUUUCAUUGUAUUGUAUAACCAUCCAACCCAGCUAGAUGCGGUGUUACAUCAUCCUCACAUGACGAUGCAGCGUUGUCAUUAUCAACGACACUCAAUCAUUAUGAAAAUGUGUCUCCCCUUACUAUAUCAGGUAGCGUUGUUAACUAUUUUAUGUUUCAUCCUAAUGAUGUAGCAUUGCACUUGAAUAAUGUAUUUUCCAAGUAUGAUGACAUAUUCUUGUUGAAACAUGACAACAGGGGUUGUCUUGGAUGACACCGAAGAAAUUAGGCUAAUACGUCCAGGUGGAUGCAAUAAAAACUUGACUGUCGAAAAAAGGGAGCAGAUAAAUGCAAAAAGACGGGCUUCUUAUCAGAAGAAAAGAGAGAUGCUCAUCGAAGAUGAAAAACUUACUCUCCAUACGAUAUCAAGUAAGAUUGUACUAACAUCUUUUUACUUCCUAAGUCCCAAAUGUUUAACAACGCCCGCUCUAUAUCUUGUAAAUAAUGAAUUGAUGAACAUGUCAUCUCACUUGAUGAUGCAGCAUCGCGUUCUUCAGCUACACUAAGACUGAUGAAAAACUGACACCCCUUACGGUAUCAGGUAAUUUUAUACCAUGCUAUAUGUUUCCUGACAAUGAUUUACCGUAAUUUGACUAUAUUCAAGUUUCUUCAUUAUAUUUGAAAAUAAUUCGAGAUGAAUGAUGACAUAUUAUUUGUUGAACCAGACAACCCAAUUAGCUCCAGCUAUACAUCCUUCUCAAUUGACGAUGCAAUGUUUCGUGCUUCAAACACACUCGCAUGUGAUGACAUUCAUGAGGAAUAUCUAGCUCGCCAUAUACUACAUUCUUCCAUUACACCUGAAGUUGUGUUCAAUAGCACCAGUGAUUUUGAAUCAGCAAACCCUACUAAGUACAACAUUGCAUCAUUAUUGACUGAGGAUGAAAAUUUGCCUCCAUCAAGUUCACAAUAUGAUAGUGCUCGUCAUAAAACCCUAGCCAAGAGGACUUACGAUAAAGAGCGCAAUUCUAAAUUAACAAUCGAGCAGAAGGAUCAUGAUAACGCAAGGAGACGAGCUGGUAAACAGAAGAAACGGGAAGAGGGCACAAUCAAUGUUCAAGAGCAAAAUCAAAGGCAACGAGAGACACGCAUGGAGCGCCGGAAAAUUAUGACUUCCGAUGAGAAGGUGCGGUCAAGUGCAAAGAGAAAGGGAAAUUACCAUAGAAUAAAAACACCCCAUCCAUAGAAUCUAUCGCAAUGCCACGGCCAGAUGUUCUGGCUCUAUCUGAUUCCGCCCCAUCAAUUACCAUUCUGUCUUACACCGUCGGAACCGAUGGUAAAAAUUUGUUAUUGUCACAAUCUUUAGAACAAAAUUUUGCUUUACCCUCUUUUGCUUACUAUCUCUACGAUGUUGCAGAAGAUAUGGGGGCAUUCAUAAGCACCAUCGUGGACGAUGAUACGAUAUCAUCCUCCUUCAUUGAUGAUGAGUAUUAUCUGUUUCGCUCGCAAGGUAUCGUUUAUGGUGAAUUAGGAGAUAGUUUGACUUUUUUGAAAUAUCUGUUUAUGCUGCUCUGAGUGCGGUGUUUGAACAAAUGCAAAUAGGAUUCGAUGAUGAUAGCCAUGAUGGAGAUGAAGUCACGAACAUGUCUAGCGCUGAGUCUGUUGACAUUGAUCCGUUCGACUUUGUCUACUCAAACCUCCCAGAUAGAACACACAUCCUGAAGCACGCCAAGAACCGCGACCACUGCAAGGCCAAGAAGUUUGAGUCUCAGACCGACGGUUUCUGUUGUCGCAAUGGGCAGAUUGAGCUCAAGGAACCAGAUCCCAUCCCCGAGCUAAUGAGGCUUUGGUCCAGCAUGGAUGCAGACUCUAGACACUUUCGGGAAAACAUACGAUUCUUUAAUGGACACUUCGCAUUCACAACCCUUGGUGUCAACCUCGAUGAAAACUACACAAACAUGAAGUCUGGUGUGUACACUUUCAGGGCGCACGGCACCAUCUACCACAACGUGCAUUCCUUCGGGCCAUGCUCACGUCCAGAACAUCUCCAGCUGUACUUCUAUGAUGACGACCCAAACCUGACCCAUCGCAAGGUUGCCACCAAACAAUUGGACCAGAAUGUCGUCAAGGUGUUAGUGGACAUACUACGUGCAAACCGUACUCACAACAAUUUCGGAGUUUGGGUGCACACAAGGAUCACCUCGAUGAUUACAUGAUAGACCUCAACACCGACCAGAGGCUUGACCAACGGAGAUAUAAUAGGCCAAUGUCAUCAGAGGUAGCUGCAAUCUGGGUCGAGGGCGCCGACGUAGCGAAAAGGUUUGAUCGUAGCAUUACACUUUUCGGUAAUGAUAAUCACAGGCACAGUAUAGGUGUCAUUGAUGGCUCUUACGACCCGUUGUCCUAUCCCCUAUUCUACCCUUGUGGGGAGCUCGGUUGGCAUCCAAAACUGCCUAAACGUAAUGUCCCUUGGGAGGUUGUACAGCAACCAAGAAGGUGGCAUGAUAAUGAGGAGGAUGCAGGUAGCCUUUUUCUUUAUUAUGUUAUUAUGAAAAUAAUAUAAGACUCAUAUGUAUACUAACUAAAGGUGCUACAUUACCUGUUGCAGAGGGUAAUAGCAGGUUAUGCGUGUCCGUGAGAGACUACUACUGUUACAGACUGCAAACACGAACUGCUAUAUUGAAUCCCAUACUUUGUGGAGCACGAUUGCUCCAACAAUGGGUGGUCGACAUGUACAUCAAGAUAGAGAGUUGUAGGUUGAGAUGGUACAGAAAGAACCAAACAAAGAUCCGUGCCGACCUUUAUAAAGGAGUUGUUGAUGCUAUCACUCCUGGGGAGACACGAGCGAGCGCUGUCGGAGUAAGGAUAGUGCUCCCUGGAACGUACCCUGGUGGCGACCGUGACAUGAAACGGAGGCAUACGGAUGCCAUGUCAAUUGUCCAUACAUAUGGGAAGCCUGACAUCUUCUUGACCAUGACCUGCAACCCUAAAUGGGAAGAGAUAUCGAACGAGCUGCUUCCUGGUCAGACAGCUCAGGACCGACCUGACCUUGUGGCUCGCGUGUUUUAUGGCAAGCUAGAGGCUAUGAAAGAGUUGUUGUUCAAAAAGCAUAUCCUGGGUGUUGUUGUUGCGUAUGUAUACGUAGUCGAGUUCCAAAAAAGAGGCCUCCCCCACGCACACUUUCUGUUGAUCAUGGAUGCAUCAUAUAAGCUCGUCGUCCCGGAGCAAUACGACCGAGUCAUUUCCGCUGAGCUCUCGGACAAGCAUAAGUAUCCAGAACUCUAUGCCUUGGUGGUCAAACAUAUGAUGCAUGGUCCAUGCGGUGCUCUCAACCCCAAUAAUGUGUGCAUGCAACAAAACAAGUGCAAGUGCAGAUACCCUCGGGCAUUCAAUGAAAACACGGCACAGGGCAAGGACCAUACCCAGUUUAUCGACGUAGAGACGACGGGCAUAGGGCUAAGGUCCGGGGUAAAGUGUUGGACAACAGGUGGGUAGCGCCUUAUAACCCUUACCUUUUGCGGAUGUUCAAUUGCCACAUCAACGUCGAGGUCUGCUCGAGCAUAAAGGCCGUCAAAUACCUCUACAAGUACAUAUACAAGGGCCACGAUAGGGCUUCUUUCAGCAUCGACCAGCCGGACGCCGAUGGAAUCAUUGAUGAGAUCAAAAGAUAUGUCGACGCGAGGUGGGUUACUCCUCCGGAGGCCAUGUGGAGAAUAUUUGGCUUCUCCUUAUGGGGGAACUCCCCGUCUGUCCUACAGUUGCCUCUUCAUCUUCCGAAUAUGCACAUGGUGGCAUUCAAUGAGCAAGCUGACUUGACCAAUGUCCUCGCCUCUGAGAAUGCUUCAAAAUCCAUGUUGACGGAGUAUUUCAAGGCUAACCAAGACCACCCGUGGGCUAGGCAUAUAUUAUACAAGGAUUUUCCUGGGAGCUUCACAUGGCAGAGAACAAAGUAUUGGAAGCCACGGGUGGAACGUUAUCAAAUAGGGCGGAUCGUGUCUGCCAAUCCAGCCGAGGGGGAGCGAUACCAUCUGCGUGUAAUACUAAACCAUGUCGCGGGCAAGACAUCCUUCGAAGACAUGCUCACCUGGAUGGCAUUCUAUGUGGUAGCUUUCGUGAGGCUGCAGAGAGGUUGGGACUCAUUGAGGCAGACAACACGCUUGACGAUUGUCUUACUGAGGCGGAGCAGUGGGCGAUGCCUUGUUCGCUCAGGAGGCUUUUCGCAACAAUCUUGGUGCAUUGCGAGCCGGGCGAUGUGCGCGGUUUAUGGGAUAGGCACUUUGAGCCUAUGUGUGAUGACUAUCGUCGAGCACACAAGUGUACAAAUGAUGUGGAGCAGAUGGUGUUGUUGGAUAUUAGAGGUAUAUUGCAGUCCAUGGGGAAAGACAUUGUAGAUUUCGCUCUUCCGUGCAUUGACGAUGAGUUCGACCCGACCGGUGGCGAGGCAAGAGAGGUGAUUGAGGAGUCCACCGUCGAGUUUGACGUGAACGACACAAAAUUGGCUUCGUCACUAAACUUGGAGCAGAGGGUUGCAUACGACGAGAUACUAGCAGCAGUUGACCGCAGUGAUGGAGGUGUAUUCUUUGUUGAUGGCCCAGGAGGUACAGGGAAGACCUUUUUGUACAGGGCGCUACUCGCCAAGGUUCGGAGCAAGGGCAACAUCGCUAUCGCUAUCGCGACUUCUGGCGUCGCCGCUUCUAUCAUGCCUGGAGGAAGGACUGCCCACUCGAGGUUCAAGAUCCCAUUGAGUUGCGAUGAUGGUGCCUCAUGCAGCUUCGCCAAGCAGAGUGGGACCGCAAAGCUACUAAGGAUGGCUUCGUUGAUACUAUGGGAUGAGGCCACCAUGACUAAGCGACAGGCGGUCGAGGCACUUGACAAUAGCAUGCGCGACAUCAUGGGAAGACGGGACCGACCCUUCGGAGGAAAGACAGUUGUUUUCGGCGGCGACUUCAGGCAGGUGUUGCCGGUCGUCAGGAGGGGGUCCCGCAGUCAGAUAAUCGAUGCAACCCUUUGAAGUUCUCACCUCUGGAAGGGUAUGCGACAGCUAAGGCUCGUCACCAACAUGAGGGCUCAUAAUGACACAUGGUUUGCGGAUUACUUGCUUAGGGUAGGCAAUGGCACCGAGGAAGCUGACGAGCAUGGCAACAUACAGCUCCCUGAAGAUAUUUGUGUGCCAUCUACAGGCGAGAUGAACGACAUGGAGAAGUUGAUUGACCAUGUGUUUCCUGGUCUAGAUGAAAACAUGUCUGAUCCCAAUUACAUGACUUGUCGUGCAAUCCUCUCCACCACAAACGACAACGUUGACAAGAUAAACUUACGCAUGAUAGAUCGUUUUAAGGGUGAAGAAGUAAUAUACCAUAGUUUUGAUAGUGCACAGGACGACCCGUAUGGCUACUACGCUCCUGAGUUCCUGAACGGAUUGACCCCCAACGGGCUUCCUCCACAUGCACUCAAAUUGAAGCUGAACUUCCCUGUCAUACUUUUGAGGAACAUUGAUCCGGCUAAUGGACUAUGUAAUGGCACUAGGCUUGUUGUUCGAGGUUUCGAGAGGAACGCCAUUGAUGCAGAAAUCAUGAUUGGACAACAUGCUGGUAGGAGGGUAUUACUUCCUCGGAUACCCCUAUGCCCAUCUGACAACGACAUGUUUCCAUUCAAGUUCAAGAGGAAGCAAUUUCCUUUAAGGCUUAGCUUUGCUAUGACAAUUAACAAGGCGUAAGGACAGACCAUCCCGAUUGUCGGUGUGUACCUACCUAACCCGGUGUUCUCUCAUGGUCAACUUUAUGUCGCGCUGUCUCGAGCCACCGCGAAGAGAAACAUAAAGAUCCUCAUUGAGAAGGAGAAGGACAAGGGAAAGAAACAGACCAAUAAAUCAAAUAAGCGAAAAAGACCCACGCUAUGCUUACAAAGGACGAUGAAGAAUAUCGUCUACAAGGAAGUCCUUACAAGCUGAAGUUUAAUGUUUCUGUGCUUUUCUCUUAUUUCUCCUUUCCGUUUUAUUUUCAUAUAUUGUUAGUGCAUUUAGAUUUCAUGAAAAAAAUUAGUCAAUAAUUAUCUAAUGUGUAUGCUGCUGCACUAACUUUCAUGAUUAAAAAGUUAUCAAUUGUGAUUAAAUAGUUCUGAUUGAGCAUAUAAUUCAAAGAAUGGUCGAGUCAAAGCGGAAGAGUGCCAAUGCACUAGGUUAGGGAGAAGGUGUGACCUGUGUAGAAAAUUUACAUCGUUAUAGAAUCCAUGCACAUAUCUUCUCCCGAAAAUGACUUUUUUGUAAUGAACCCAAUGGAGGAGUAACCUGAUAGAGCCAACGGUAAUUGUUAUUUGCUUAUAGAUAAUUUAUCACAAGAAACUAAAAACUUAGGCUGCGCAUGUGUUUAACCCAAGCAUGCACAUCAAACUGACUUUGCACCAUGUUCAGCCAUCUCAUAGCGAAGUAUUAUUUCAGUACCUCAACACCUGCAGUUUUUACCAUAAAAAACCUCAUAGUACAAAAGCACGAGAAAAAAAACUUUUGAAGGAGAAUGUUCAUAGGAAGAGUCUAUUGUAGCAUGUGCAAACUGUACUUCCUAUUAUACCAUGGUGUUCACAGUAAUGUUUUUAAUGCAUUUCUUAUGUUAUGUAUAAUAUGUUACGAUUAGCGUUCUCAGCAAUUCAUUGAAGGAUGUAAACUAAGAAGUCAAAUGCAUAUAAGAUAUAACAGUAGUCACGUUAUGUGAAGGAAACUGACUGGGAGUGACCAACCUUACCUCAGGUAACUUCAAUGAUGUAUAACUUGUGAAUGUGUGAACCUCUUAUGCCUUGAAUCUUCCAUACAAGCAAUAUAAAAGAGGAUUGUGGUUGCCAAUCCAAUCAUCUGCAGCGGACAAAGUUUUGUGAAAGUAGGCUAGCAUUUUGUAUAUGGUUAAAAUACUUUGUCCCUUAAUAACAUGAAUAAACUGUGAUAUUUAAUUAUUCAUAGAAAUAUAUGUGAGCAUCUUAUUAAAUGAAUAAUACUCUUAAGGCAAGAAUAAUAAUUUAUGAUGCUGAUCGUACGUGGAGAAUACAGAGAUUGGCCAUGUAGUCUUCAUUGCCUAAUAGGUUAUCAAUUUUAUUUUCGGCGGCUUCGUGAAGAUGGGUCAGAUAUGUUACUUCAGCAAAUUAACCUUCCUAACUAAAAUACAGUACACCACUCAUUUCAGAUUUCCACCACAAUAUUGGCAAACAUCGCUUGCAGCUUUGUGAUCAUCGGUUACCGUAUUUUAGUUACAUGAACAUAGGUUAAUUCCAAAUGUUUUCAUCAGUGGAAUACAAUGCAAGAAUUCCAUUCCCAAAAUGUUGGACAAUUUUUUUUGCUAUAUAUCAACUAUGCAUAAUACACUAAUGAGUGCAACAGUCUGACAGAUGGACGAGACCGAUGAGAUACACUAUCAAGAACAAACUAUUUUAAUUCUCUAACGAAGUAUGAAUAGAGAAAUUAUAGCCAGACAACUUAUCGUAAGCAUGAUCUCCCACAUGGCAAAAUCAUUAACUCCUUCUGAUAAGACCAGCCAAAAAGCAUAGACAGAUGCCAAGAAAACGCCAAUCUACAUAAAUUCCUUGCAAAGCAACAGAAAAUACUGAUCAAUUACUGGUUAGUCUCAUCCAGAUAGAAGGACACAAAUGUGUGCACUGCUGAACCUAAUAUUGAAUUCAAAGAGGAUACAUGACGCAACAAAGCGACUUCAUUACCAUAUAUCAAUGUGUGCACCGCCGACAAAACAAUCACGAUUUAUUCAUGAAGCUUGAAUAAAUUUUCAAGUGUCUGCUAUAACUAUUUUUUAAAGGUGGAUAAUAAAUCUUUAAAUGUUUGAAUCUGGUACCAUAAAAAUUAAAUCUUCUACACUUGGAAAGAGAUAUCGCAUUCAUUAUAAAACACACAAUUAAUGAUAGACUACGUUGACUACUUAUCACAUGGUAUUGUGGAUGUGCCAGAUAUAUUUUAUCAUGAUAUCUAGAAAGGAUAUUAAUUAAAACAUGCAAUUAAUGAUACAAUCUGGUGCUUCCAUCUAUACAAAUCAUUCAUUGAUGUACAACUGGAAAGUCUUAUAGCAAUUUUGGUGCAUAAUCAUAUAUAGAAAACAUGAGAUGCAUCAAUAUUUUGAUACAAUCUGCAACUUCCAUAUAUACAGAAUUUCCCCGCAGUCCUUUAGGCUUCCAAAAAUGCCCAUCACCACUAUAUAUAUAAGUCUCCAUCAUUGUACAUAGGAUCAUCUCCUCUUUGACACCCUCUCCUCCACGAUUAUGGUAAUCUCAUACAGGUUGACGACCUCAAGGAGAGUGAUGGCGUCGCCAUCAUUUCCUGUCAUCCCUCGUCCCAUCACCCCCCAAUUAACAGGCAUGAAAAAAUUGAGCUGCUUGUACGUCAGUUUGCCAACACCGCUGAAUUUUGUUUGUCGUUCAUGAGGUUUAUUCUAUACACAGGAACUUGACAUUUCGUCACGUCGAGAUGGAGCAUAUAUACCAGAAUUGUUGGACCAUUCGUGCAAUGGUCCAAUGGAAGGCACAAAUCAAAGUGAAUUCCAUGGGAAACAUAUACCUUCAAUGCAUACUACUGGAUCAGGAAGUAAGGCAUUGCUCAUCACUAUUUCAUAGCAUAUAUUUUGUUGUACACAUUUGAUAAACGAUUUUAUUUGCUAAUUAUGUUGAUGAUUCGUAUAUUGCUUUAGGGGACAAAAAUGGAAGCCAUUGCGUUCAACAAUCAAGUUGUUCGUUUCAACACCAUUCUUCAAACCGGCAUGUCCUAUGAAUUCACUCGUGUAGGAUUUAACCCCACUGAAAUGGCAGUUGUACAUUUCUUGUAUCUAGACAUGGAGUUUAUCAUGACACUAGAUAGUAGGACUGUGGUUAUGAUUUCGGCGCACAGGAUAUCAACGGCAAUUUGUCCAUUGUGUUUCCCACAAUUUGGGGCCAUCUACUCACUACAAGACAAACGCAUAACUGGUGCAUUUUUUAUCUUUGUUCUUGCAUAUUUUGUUAUAGAACUCAGGGUCUCAUUCUGAUUAAAUCUUCGCAGAUGUUAUUGCUAUUGUUGCCUAUGUUAGUAAGAUACAAACUCUAUGGGAUCCAAUAUAUGAUAGACAUGUCCCUUUGCUCGAAAUUGGCCUCAUGAACUUUCGGUGAGAGUCGUUUAUAAUAUGAGAUUUACAUAUGCUUUUUUGAGUUAAUUGUUGCAAACAUAAACUAAAAUUUGUUUUUGUCUGUAGACGUCAGAUAAUUUUCCUACGCAUAUAUGACGAGCACGUUGGCCGUCAAUUUGACCAUUUGCGACGCAGCGUAAAUCAGUUCGAAAAAAUAUCAAUUACUUACAUACAAUUUAAUCGAAGGCGUCAAUGCUUGCAAACUAUGCGGGAGAGCACGUUCACCUAUUCUCCUAAUAUUGAUCAUGAGGGUCAUCAUCUACAAGGCAGGUGUUGCGUACUAUUUCAAAUUUUUGUCUUUAUAUUUUCUUGUACAAUACUAUGUCAUUAAUAUCACUGACACUUAUUUUUAUUUGUAGAUAUCCAUGAAGCCAGUCUCAUGACACUUGACGAAACACGUGCCUAUGUCAACAAUAUUGUCAUGGCUAGGAACAAUGGACUCUAGAAUUAUCUUCGUGUACUCAUUAUCACAUUUCUUCAUUGAUGUAAAAAGUCAAUCGAAAUUGUGAGUUAGGCAUCUCGUUGCCAAGUGUCUUCAUGUCUUAUCUUAUGUAAUAUAAUCUUAUGUAAUAAAAAUGUAUGAUAUUCAAUAAAAAAAUCUUUGUGUGGUAUGUGUUUUGUGCAUUCAAUAUUUUGGUUGGGAAAACCUGAGAUAAGAAAACUUGCCUAUAAAUGAUCGACCGAUAAAAUCGAUAAAUCGGACGAUAAGCCGAUUUAUCUCUUAAUCGUGUGUCGACCGAUAAGUUAACGAUAAUAGACAUCCUAAACAGGUGUAAUAAAUGUACGAUAUUCAAUAAAACAAAUCUGUGUGUAGUAGGUGUUUUGGGCAUGCAAUAUUUCGGAACCAACAUCUAUGUCAGGAAGGAUAUCAAUUACCGUAGACAGACUUAAUGCCUCUUGAUUUUAAGGUAAGGUCAAUCAAUAGUUUGUUUAUUAUUUGGAAGUCAAAUAAAUUUCUAUUCCAAGUUAUGUGUCAAUCAGGAUCACAACCCUUCAUAUAAUAUCCAUUCGGUCCUAUUUCAACGCCCAGCUCUGUCCUCACAAAUUUCUGAGCACACAACACUAUAUUUUCACCAAUGGAUGGUGUGCCGGCACCCCAAGAGGCUGUCCACGCACCAGUGGAUGUUCAGCUCCAAAUGCACGAGGCAUUGCCUGCCCCACUAGCGGAUGCAUACAACGUGCAUGUCGUAGAAGAUGCUGUCGACUACAUAUUUCAAUGGAUCAUAGACGCACAAGAAGAUGAGGCAUUAAAGUAAGUUAUCUUUUCUCCAUGUUUUGUUGUAGACCAUGCUGUAUUACUCUCCUACACAACAGGAUAAAUAUAUGUUCUGUUUUUGUGAGUUGAAUCAUUCGAUAGUUUGAAUUAACCACGAUAUUUUAGAUGUGUCCAGCUCACAGCUGUUACCCAUAAGUAUGUGCUUAGUUGUGUGCUAUAUUACUUUUGUAAGCGCGCUUUGUAACAACCAGAUCAAAGCAAUAAGCAAAAUAAGCCAAGCUGGACACACCCCUAUCGCCAAACAAAUAUUGAUGAAGAAAAUGUUUCAUACCAAAUAUACUUUUUUCAUAAAUAACAAAGUAUAUUUAUAUUGUAGGUAUGGGGAAUUCAAAAAGCAAAACUUAUAUAAUUCUGUUAUUUUCAUGUUAUUAUCAUUAAGCUAACUUUGGUAUAAAACAGUGUAAUGUUUGUUCAUCCACCAAAUUUUAAUGAAUGUUUAUUUUCUCCUAUUGGCUAACAUUGUUUGGAUUUAUUUGUGGUACCCUAAUGUAGAACAGUACAUUUUUUUAUCUGUGAUACAUGUGGCCAUGUUUUUUUAGACAACUAAUAGAUUGUUACAUUAAAAAAAGAGCUACCAGAUUAUGACACAUUAUUUAGCAGAUUUUCAAUGGAAGCAACUAUUUCACUUAUCUUUGCUUUCAAUCAAUCGUCUUUAUUUAUUCACGAUUAUCAUAUUUUUGGAUAAAGUUAUAUUUUCAAAAUAAGUUCGUUACAAUAUCCUAAUGGUGAUGCAGAUAUAUGUGGAUGUUUUUUUAUUAAAAGUUGUUCUGCUUAUUUUUGGUAGCACAAUAUGGAUAAGAAGCGCACGACCAUACCAUAUCGAGAUCAGCCUACGGGUCAUCCGGGAAACAAUUUGUCUUCAUGGACAAGUUCAUCCUGAUUGCUUCAAUAUCGUAGUUCGUAAACUCGCCAGCGCUGAAGUGGAGACCACUGCAGGCACAAGGAUGUUUGGAAAGAAACAUUUCUUUGACCUGCGGUUCCAUUCUCAGGCACGGGCUCUGAGACACUCUUGGACGGAACAAGGUCCCCGCACCACGGCUCUGAUUGACAAUGCUAUUGUCGAGCCGUUUCCUAAAUAUGAUGUGUUCAACUCUACAAUUGUAAGAGACUGUUGGUAAUUCCUAUCUUAAAAUUUAAUUUUAUUAUUAUAUUAACAGUUAACAUGUGUCUAUCUACUGCAUCUUCCACGGUAUCUACUACCAUUUACUUGUGUGGAUUCAAACUACGCACUACUUGUAGUCAAUAUGGAGUGUGGGAGGUUUGUCCAUUUUGAUCCAGCCAUCGACAUCUAUAGUCGUGGAAUUAGUUUUCAUAACAGUGAGUUGAUGAAGGAAAUCACAAUGUUGAAGGAAGAAUUCAACAAUGUGUUCCAUAUGAGGAUUCCUGAUUGGAAUACCCAACUCAUGGAAUGGCCUGCUGAUGGCAUAUCUUGUACUGCCAGACGGUAAUAUACUAAAGCAGAUCACUUACAGUAUGAGCACAUUUAUAUAGUUUUUAAUAUAUACAGUUUUUAACAGCAAAGACUCCGCUUUUCAAGUGCUACAAGAGAUGGCCCACCAGACUGGUACAACGGCGUCGAUGAGGUGUAAAACAGACGUAAGUACAUAAUAAAUAGGUUUAGUGUGCAAUUUAUUUUCUAGACAUUUAUUCCAUUAUGUUUUUUUGCAUCUUUUAUAGGAUUCAAUACAGCUCAGGAAGCAACUCAUGAUCCAGAUGCUGACGAUCAAACAUAGUGAAGCGGCUGGAAACAUCCCGGUUGAAAUUAGAGAAGCCUUGAGGGUCAUAACAGACUGACUAUGGACUGAUGGGUCUAAAAAUUACCGCAAAUAAAUCUGCAAUACAUCUUUUUUAGGUGUCUGCUUCACAAUUAUCUAUUUGGCAAUACGAAUAAUUAGUUGAUAUAUUUGGUUAUCUAUUCAUUUUGUUUUACUGAUAUAUUUAAAACUCUAAAUAUCAAGUCUUGGUCUAUGUAUGAUGUUUUAGUGGUAUUGGCAUCCACUAGCUUUGUAUUACCUACAAAUUUUUAUUGGGUUGGUGUCAUACCAAACCGGUUUGGUAGUACUCAUAAACCGUAUUCAUUUUGUAUUGGACCAUGCCAGGUUCACAUGAUUCUACAAGAGCAGCCAGUUGUCGGUGUACACGCACUAGUAUCGUGGCUCGCAUCCUAUACUGAUUCGUAUCGUAUAACUUCAUCCAUACACACACUGGUAUAUGAUACAAGGUUUACUUUGUCGAAUAUCAACCCAUACAAGCUACGGAAUAUUGAACUUAAAGAUAUGAUGGUUGUAAGUCAUGUACCUUGCAUUGCCUUUAAUCUUCAAGUAUCUUCACAUGUUUGCACAUGAUCCAAAAUCUAUAUCAGGAUCAUGAUAUUCCCAACUACGUGAUUGUUCACUUUUACGUUGACCUGAAUGGAAUAACCAAAUUAAAUGAAAAUGUGUUUUAUUCUUGACUACAUAAAGUAGAAGAUGAUACGAACAUUUAUCAACCAACAGGGAGGAGGAAGAAAUUUAUUAUUAAGCUACUAUAAAGGAGAUACAUAUUCUUUUAAUAAGCCAAUUGUGAUCAGGCAAUAUUUUGUGUUCUAUGUAUGAAGCAUGUUUUUCACUCAUCUAUUACCACUAUUACGAGACAAAACUUUGAGAAGUACCAUUAGAUUAUCCAACACCUUCUAUAACCUAAGAAUAUAAGGUAUUAUGUAUGAAGUUUAAUACUAAUGAUACAGAGAUAAAAUGGACAAGUGCGAGGCUACCGAAUAACAAGUUAAAAAUUGAUAUAUGCAUGGGAGUAUGGAUCGAGAAAUUUGAAACCUGAGAAAGAAGGUCUAUGAUUUAACAUGUAAAAAUAAAGAAUAAUAGAAAUCUCGAUAAAUACAACUUGUCAUGCUACUACUUAUCUUAUGAUUUAAGCAUAUGCAUCCAUUUAUAGAAUCAACCUGUACCAAAGUAAAAUCAUAUGCUUGAGAUAACUUGGCAGAGUAUAAACAGAGUAGAAUUCAUAUGCUUGAAAUUGAAUUAGAGCAGAACUAAGUUACUAAAUAACCUACCCGUUUGACUAUGACAUUGUUGGCAUCCUCUUUAGCCACUUCUUACUUUAGUAAUGUACUAAGAUCAUGGCAUAUUUUCAAAGAUAAUACUAUCUAUCCAAACCAAACAAGAAAACACUUCAUUACAACGGGGAAUAAUUAGGGACAAUUUCACUAUGUAAAAUGCAUUGAUAAAUUUAAAAAUAGUUAUCACAGAAAAUUAAACGCCGUGCGUUGCCAUGGGCUUUCAGAAAAUAAAUAAGAUGUUACUAACUGAGUUAACCAAGAACAAUGCUGACUAAGCUAACACACAUCUUUUUUAUAUAAUCAGCUAACACAUAUCAUACUAUGAAACACAAUAAUCUUAGAGCACCUAUAGCCGGUCCCCUCAAAUCCUGCUCAAACGUCCACGGAAACUAACCAGUGGAGAAAUAUGUAUAGAGAGACAUGGGUGAGAAAGGGGCAGGCACCAUUCACUAUGUGACAUAUUAGUGUAACAAGCAUCGGUAUUAUAUACCUUGAAAUGUACAAGUACAAGGCCACAUUGCAGACCACCCAAAUAGGUUACAAUCACUAUAUUGAGAUGAUAAAGCAAAAGAACAACCAGUGAGCUUACUUAAAGUACCGUUGAUUUACAAAUUACUAACCAAUGGAGUCAUCCAGACUCAAAUGUAUCCUGACAACACCAUGGAGCAUCAGGUUGGAGCGGUUUAUUUUCUGUGAUAAUAUAUCUUCCAUUCCUGUAGUAAUAAAGUAUGAACAAUGAUUAGAGAUUAAAUAAAAAAAGAUAGAAAGACACAGUUACGAUAAAUCUUGCAUUCACACUUCAUGUAGCAUACUUAGCAUACAUAAAUUAUUUUUCUACACGGCACAGAAUAUAGUAAGUAGUUAUCUACCAGCUUUGCUUCUAAUGAAUCCAUAGUGUGUAGGGUUUAUAGCUAAUGCAAGAGCAAACAAUUGAGAACCAUAUAGCUAGAUCAAGCAAUUAUAUAUUUGAACCAUGUAUAAAUUUGACAUGAGAAUUGCUUGACACCUGAAAAUGCCAACAAUUUUGAGCUUUAAUUUGAAAGGACCCAAAGCUGAUAGAUCACUCAGUAAAUAACUCUGAAAUAUAUCACCUGCAUACCGUAAGUAUGAAUGGAAUUUGUCAAAAUAAUUCUGAAAUAUUUCAGCUUUAUAUAUACCACUUUAGGAGUAUAGAUAUGUUAGUAUGUAUGGAAUUAAUGAGAAGUUCUUUAUUUAAUUAUGAUAAUUUGAUUCUAUAGUAAGUUCAGAUUGGUUGACAUCUUUCUAAUUUAUUAACAGGUGUGCAAUCAAUGGAAAAAGGAAACAAAUCUACACCAUACAAGAAUCAAAUUUAUUAACAGGUGUGAAAUCGUUGGAAAAAGGAAAAAGAUACGACAUACAAGAAUAUAUGGUAGAAUUUGAAUACGCCAGGAUGUGCUACCCAGUGGCCCUCCGCUUUGCCUACCUAUAUAGAUAACCUCCUCUGUCAUCCUUCUUCCCCCUCCUUGUUCUCCCUUCGCCCAUCACAUAUAGCAAAGGAUAUAUCAAAGGAUCAAAACAGACAAGGCUGGAUGGUAAAUUGAGGAGGAGUACAUUGCGUAAUCAAGGAGCAUCAAGAAGUCGAGUUCCUCUAGGUAUGAACUUUCCUAGAUCUUUCACUUUUCUAAAAGUUGAGUAUUUAUUAGAUUAUGAUCAUCUGGUUCAGGUUCACUAUCAAAUUGCAAAUGAAGAAUGGCAGUGGAGAUACUGCCAACUAAUCAAAACCUAACCAAGCUAACCUAUUAGGUGGGUUAUAGCUCACAACAUGUAUUCCCAAGGCAGGUCAAAAAAUAUGUAUUCCCAAGUAGCCUCAUUAGAAAUAAUAAUAUUACAAGGUGCCAACUAUCACAAAUAUAUACAUUAACUUGGAUCUCAGUGACUAAUGAGUAAGGCGGCGGUGGGAACAAUAAGCAGGGAAAGGAAGAAGGCAAUUGCAAUGGAGGGGGGAGGAAUACAAACCAUGAGGAGGAGAUAUUGAGCAGCAUGUCGAUGACCUUCGAAUGAACAUCUCCAUCAGAUCCUCCUUGGUGCCUGCGGCAACCAAUCCUCAAACAAUUCAUAACCAUCAGCACAAAUACUGACCAUAUCGAAUUCAGCCUCUGAACAAAUUUUAUGAGGCUGCAGAGACCAGGACAGCAAGAUAUACGUAUGGGCUGGCAGUGGUAGGUGACUUACUGAUGGCAGGCGGUCUGGAUGACGGCGAGGACAGCACGUAGGGGUUGGAGCCCGUGGUCGCCACGACCGGCGGCGUCGGUGGCCGCGCCAGGUCAUCCGAGGACAUGCGAGGGUACGCCAACGGCGGCGCGACUGCCGUGUGGGCUUCGGGCUUGCAGUCCAUGUGCGCUCGGCCUCCAGUGGGCAUAGUUGACGGCUGUAAGAGAGACGUGGUGGUCGGGGUAGUGACACGGGCACGCAAUAAAGCACGUGAGACACGCAUGGAUCUAGAAUCCAGGUCAUGGAAAUCGAUCAACCUCCACUGGUAGAGUAGAAGGAGGAGGAGGGAAAUGACGGCGACCUCUCCGUCGCCGCCGGCGCCACCGUGGUGGAGAGGAUUGGAGGGGAGGGGAGACGAGGGGCGUCUGCAUCUAGAAGCCAGGCCAUGUAAAUCGACCGGCCUCCAUCGGUAGAGUAGAAGGAGGAGCAGGGAAAUCACGAAUACCUCUCCGUCACCGCCGGCGCCACCGUGGGGGAGAAGAUUGGAGGGGAGGGGAGACGAGGGGCGUCUGCAUCUAGAAGCCAGGCCAUGUAAAUCGACCGGCCUCCACCGGUAUAGUAUAAGGAGGAGCAGGUAAAUCACGAAUACCUCUCCGUCGCUGCCGGCGCUUCCGUGGGGGAGAAGAUUGGAGGGGAAGGGAGACGAGGGGCGGUUGGAUCUAGAAGCCAGGCCAUGGAAAUCGACCGUGCUUCACCGACAAAGUAGAAGGAGUAGGAGGGAAAUCACGGAUACCUCUCUGUCGCUGCCGACGCCACCGUGGGGGAGAGGAUUGGAGGGGAAGGGAGACGAGGGGCGGUUGGAUCUAGAAGCCAGUCCAUGGAAAUCGUCCGGCUUCGACCGGCAGAGUAGAAGGAGGAAGAUGGAAAUCAUGGAGACCUCUCCGUCGCUGCCGGCGCCACCGUGGGGGAGAGUAUUGGAGGGGAGGGGAGGGGAGGGGGUCGGGUGUGUCCGCAUUUGGCCGACGGCGAAUGGGUGGAGGGGAAGGGAUGAGAGGGGACGGUGGUGGGAGACGAAGGGAGUGCAGUGGGUCGAGUGAGGCAAGGAGUGGAUAGAGUUCGACUGGAAACUGAGAGAGUGAGUUUGUUUAGCCAAAUGGAGAGAGUGAGGUUAAGGGAGAUCGGCCUGGUUGGGCCGUGCGGUAUAUUGGGUCAAGGUUGGGCCCUGCUGGAUAGUCAAUUUUCAACUUAGCUAUAUCAAAAAUGCUUAAAAUGUUUUAAAAAAUAAAAAUGCCUAAAAAAAAUCUAUGAAAAAAUAUAUAUAUUAAAAGUUGUUUAAAAAACAUGUAUAUUAUAGUUGGAUCAUACAAAUCAAUUUUUAUACUUAUUAGAUAUAUUCAUAGUAUCAACAAAAAACACAAUUUUGAAAGAAUAAGCCGAAUAUACUUGGUUUAUGUUGUAUCGCUUAGCCUAUAUAAAUAUAUUUAAAUGAUUUAAGAAAUUUCAGAAGACUGCUUAUUUAAAUAUGAACAUUAUAGUUGGUUGUUUGCUGAAAUAGAAAUGCAAUGUAUUUUUUAAUAAUAUGAAAAAGCAUUGUUUGUUUAUACAAAAUAAAACCGCUGUGUUAGUUUCAGUUUUAUUAUAUAAUAUGUUUAUAUGAUGCAAUAUAAAAUAUCAUUUAUAUUUCAUUGGAGAUAGAAAGUGAUGGGUUCUACUGAUGUAACGAUGAUGGACCAGACUGAAGCAUCACGAGAAGAGGUGCAUAUAGUUAAUCCUUUUUCGUAUGUAUGUUACUCAUGAUAAUACAAAAGAUUUAUUAGUUUAUAUUAAUAUUUUCAGAAUAUAGGAGACAUAGAUAUGGAUUUUGGAGAUGCACAAAAAGAAUCCAUCGACAUGGCUUCUGAUGCGGCAUAUCUAAAAGGGGCCGAGAAUCGAUCAAUUUCUUUACAAAACAAUGACGUGGAACUAAUGAUAUCUCAUAAAAAACCAAAAAGUAAUGCCAAUUUGAAUAUUACCACACAAGGUAUUUGUUCCUGUAAUUGACAACUAGGUACUCGCACGUGGCAACUAUAUAAACGCACAUAUGCACAUCCGACCCCAAUAAGCACCUUCGAGAGCUGAGCCAGCAUAUCAUUUUAAGAUGUACAAAAUCAUCAUAGACGCUACAUCAUCGAUGGAAACGUAUCCUCCCACUAAAUACGCAUCGACAAAAAUCCUAAAACAGAUUCAGAGAUAAUACAGUACGAACAAUAAAACUUAAACCUUGUUAGACCGGAGAUAACAAUGUCUUCUAACCAUCCAAUCAUAAGUUGGUUCGUUAUUCAUCGCUGGUUCUUACUUGAUGUGGUAUCAACGUUUUCCUAUAUAUUUAUUUUUCACCAGAUUCAGCGGCCAUAAAAUGCCCUGAAUCAGUAUACCAACAAAAUAAAAUAAAAUUUUGAAUUCCUUUACAUCGGAUGUACAAACGAUCUCUGUCGUCAUCCCUCGGGCAUAUAAUCCUGCACCCUAGCUACUGCCGCCGGAGAUGGUCGAGCGCGAGCGCAAGCGUCGGCGCGAACCUUUCGACGUCGACGCGCACGUUCUGCUUGCCGAGGUAGAACUCGGCGACCUUGUCCCACCCGCUCCGGUGGACGGAAUCCGGGUCCUUGAUCGCGGGGUGGUCCGGCCCGAGCGUCUCCAGCAGCGUGCUCUCCUCCGCCUUGAUGCUGUACUGGAGGUACCGGAGCCCCAUGUCGGACGCGGGGUCGCCGAACUCCCGCUGCGCCAUCGGCUCCAGCUUGCCGUACGGCACCACCUGGAUCACCACCGCGCCCGGCGGCAGGAACGCCGCGUUGGUCAGCCCGGCGCCGUGCACGCCCAGCAGCACGUCGAACGAGUUCACGGACAUGGCCAGCUCCUUGACGCGCACGUUGAACCGCGGGUCCGCUAUGACCACCUCGAACCCGGCCUUCUCCGCCGCCUUGACGAUCUCCGGCACGUUCACGAGCUUCCGGUAGUGGCCCCGGUCGAGCAGCAUCAACCGCGGCUUCUUCUUCUUCCUGUCCACCGGCGGGCUGCUCCCCUUGGUCAGGCGGAUGGGAGCGGCGCGCGGCAGGGAGUAUGUCUCGCGGAGGAAGGCGGUGAAGUUAGCCAUGGAGAGCGGCACGCCGCCGGGGACAAGCUCAGGCACGAUGUCGAACUCCCUGUGCAUGUUGAGGCCGACGGUGACGCGCCGGAAGCACCUGAUCUGAUCGUCAUGGUCCAGGUCCACGACGUCGUACUUGGUCAGCCGCCGCACGACGGCCUCGUACUUGCCGAGCCACCAGGGCUGGAUGUUGCUGGCCAGGAGCUGGACCUCGCCGUGGUACCGCCGCGACGCCACGAACAGCGGCACCAGCGCGUCGCUGAAGUCGUGGAAGUAGUUGCCCAGGUGACCGCCGAGCCCGAUCACGAUGGCCGGGACGCGGUGCGUCACCGUGCACGCCGGCGCCGGGGACGCCGCGGACGUCGAGUCGAGCUGCGUCACCGUGAUGUUGGGGAUGCCGGUCAUGUUGUAGCGGGCGUAGGGCUGGAUGCUCCACUCCCGGCGCUCUGUUAGGGACGUGGCCGGCACCAGGGUGACGGUGUGCGCCGUGCCGUUGGUCCGGACGUCGCCGGAGACGUCGCAGGUGUAGGAGAAGGGGCUCGCUCUGCACACCACCUUGCCGUUGUCUGCUCAACAAAAAAGGACACCAUGGUUAGUCAGCUUCAUUGAGGAUUGAGCAUUUUUACUGAUCAACUGAAAUCAAUUAGAUGCAGGAAGAGAAAUGCAGUGGUCAUCUAAUUGUUUCAAAGAAACAACGAGAGUUCAUCACUUAAGCUAGCUCAGCCAGGAAUAACCCGUUGCUACCCUACUUAAAAUAGACAACCCGUGAACUAUUCUUUUUUAUUUCAGGAAGGCCCUAAAGUGCAGUCAAAUGACCUCAAUGAUUCUUGCAAAUCCUUUACUGAAUUGGCAGAGCAAGUGUUGUUUAUUUGUGAAAGUUGAACCUAGUAGUAUAAUAGAGAUGACACCAUCAAAUUUAUUUUCUGGCUCCACCCCUGCUUAUAAAAUAGUCAAACUAAGAACUAAAUUUUAUUUCGGGAAGUCUCUAAAGCGGUAAGAUAUGGUUUGGUAUCGUUAGGUCCAAAUACAAGAAACGUUUGCAACACAAAAAUCCGAAUGGUCCCUAAAGUGAUCUGGACUUUGCCAUGUGUCCCGUUGAAAAGUAUUUUCACAAUGAUGCGCUACCCUACACUUUGCGGCCAGGUCAUCAUCAAACAUGAAAAACAGGAAAGAAAAUCGUCGGCAUGUUACCGUUUACAAGGGGAAGGAAUUUGGUAUAGAUGACCUAGUAUAUAUACUAGUUUCAUCAAUAAAUUUGAUCCAAAUACCAGUACCACCACCAGUGACCACCGGAUACGUUACUAUACGUCCCAAACCUACUAAUAAUCGGAUCGGAUCAGCACAUUUAUGGUGAGCAAUCAGUGAGCAGACAGUAGGUACUCUACAUACGUCUGAAAGCCGAUCGAAUCGAAUCAAACCUUCUCUACAUUUUCUACCAGUAUCAAAUGCAUCAUCACAUCGCAUCAAAUCACAUUAAUUUUGCUUGUUUUAAAUCAGGGGAAGGAAUAUUUGGACACAUACCGAAGGGCUUGGCGGCACCGUCGUCUCUGUCUCUCUUCCCCACGCCGCGUGCGCGGUGCUCUGCUUUCGGCGGCCCUGCUUUUGGUGAGAGAAAACACAGCUGCCUUUCGUUCACUCAUUCCGUCCAUGCCGUGCCACCGACACCAAGAAGAAGAAAGAAAGAUAUUUGUGGUGCUUACCCUGUUGCCGCUGCCGCUGCCGCUGCUCUUGAGCUGGUCCGGCCUCCGCCGUCGCCUCUCCUCCUCGAUUCCGUUGCGUUAAUCCUGGUCAAUUUAGCAUAUGAUUCGAUCAGUCAGAGAGGGAGGCACGCAUCACUGUCUCCAAAGAACAAGCUGACUUCGUCGGAUUCUUUCUUUCCAGCGGCGAGGUAGUGCGGCAUUAAUGGUCUCCAGAGUCCGUACUUGAAAUUGGGGUGCUGGGAGUUACAGCAGGGGCAGGGGUGGUGGUGGUGGAUCCUAACCUGCUUCGCCGGCGCGACCGGAGGACUUGGUCGCCUGGUGCUUCUUCCGGUGCGGCGUCAUGGCGGAGACGGCUGCUGCAGAUGGACGAACACGGACGAACGAACGUAUCAAGGGAGGGGCAAGACCGGCAAGGAAUCUAGAACCGAGAGAAGAGCGAGCGAUGCGCCGGGCGGGAGCGAAGGCACGGCGGCUGUGUCGAUCACCGGGGAGUGCGUACGUACCGUCAGGGGAGGCGACGGCGAACUGCUGGGAGACGACGAAGUAGGCGAGGAGCACGAGGAGGAAGCCGGCGACGAAGCAUAGGUUGAGGUGCCGCUGCGCCCAGGCGCCCACCGUCAGCCCCUUCCCGGCAGACGCCGGCGCCGGCGCCGACUGCUUCUCCACGCUGACCAUCUCCUCCUCCGUCUACCGGCCGCGGCACGAGGUUCUUGCUCCCUUGAAUGAGCGGCGGACUGGCGUCGCUGGUUCACAUGGGAGAGAGCUGUAGAUGGCUAGGGACGGGACAGAUGGUGUGGCAUGCAGAUGCAGAUGCAGUGUGCGACUUUGGGUUGGGGUUCCCAAAGCUUCGGCGCCCGCUGGCUUUCUCCUCCAUCGAUCGGUGGCCAUUUUGUACCCAUCCGGCGGCCACCCGGGCGGCGCCUUUCGCACUUAACCCCCUACUACUACUACUACAGAGUACAUAGAACCCAACCCAACGGUUUGGUGAAUGAUGAGGAGCAAUUAAGUCGACCCUUGAGCGACCGGUGAGAGCAACUCUGGUGAGAGCAACUCUAGCAGACCCGUAAAAAAUUUACCCGUAAAACACAUUUGCGGUUUCACGAAGAUCGCGUUUGCGGGUUGAAAACAUAUGUGAUCGAACAGAACCCGUAUCAAAACCUGUAUAAUUUAAAAAAAACACUUUCGCGGAAAAAAUUACACAAACAUAGUUCAUCACAUGAUCAACAAACUACAAGCAUAGUUACACUACAUACUACGUUAAACUAGUAAUAGAGGGGUCGGCGCUCCGCCUCCUCGCGCACGCUCCGCUCCAGCGGGCUCCUCCUUCACCGGGACGAAGGCGAACGGCGCCGGCUCCUCCGGCUCCUCCUCGUCGUCCGACCACUCCCUCUUCACGGGAAGAAAGCCCAUGCCAGAGGACGAGGAGGAUCCGGCAUAGGAAGAUCUCGCGGAGGAGAAGGACGUGCUACGGCGGUCGUACUCCUCCAUCUCGCGGCGGUUGAAGCUCGCCGGCGGCGACAUCCUGCGGUCGGUCCACCUCCGGGCGUCGCGCUUCCUCGCGCCGUCCGUCCGGACGAGCCGCUCGCGCUCCGGGUCCCUCUCACGGUCGGAUCUGCUGCCGGAGCCGCGUCCGAAGCUCCACAUUCGGCCCCACAUGACGGCUGGAGGCGAGGCGGGUGGUCGCCGGCGGCGAGAAAUGUGGAGAAAGGAAAGGGGAAUCGGGUGGCUCGCGGCGGCGGGGCGAUAGGGUUUGGACCCGCAAAAUGGUCGCGGAACCGCAGUUAUACUGCUCGGGGCGUGCGGUUUAUGUGCUACGGUAAAAAAAUGUGCGGACCGGGCGAGUAUGCGGGCUCUGUUCUAACCGAAAAAUUAGGUCGAGUCCGCAUACUAGCCGGAAUUUUUAGGGACCGGACGUUUUGCGGGAUGUGCUAGAGUUGCUAUAAGGAACAAUAACUAUUAUUAGAAAGCAACAAUCCUUAACACGGGCAUCAAGCCCGAGUGAGCACAUGAUUCUAUCGUAGAGAUCAGUUUGUCCUUGUCUCAGCACCAUCAUUCAGACUGGACCUGCCACGAGUGUUAGAUCUAUCAACCAGAAUGGUCAUAUCCCGCACCAUCGUCCUAACACCAGCCUGAAAACCAUCUUCCUUACAUUUAAAUUCUACUACUAUAAAGUCGCACAAAUUCAUAUUAGUAUCACUAUACUGUUUCUUAGAGGAUGCGGUUUAGCGGAUUUGCUAAAGAUGCCAUGAGCCUCCUCUCCCCGCGCUAGACACGCAUAUGUUCCUCCCCAACCAUCCCGACCGUGACGGCAAUGAUGAGUAUACAGUAUACAUGAUCCGUAAUGCCCAAGGGACGGAUUUCACCAACUGGCGAGGUGAUAUGUGAAAAAACAUAGUAGUUUUUCCAAUGCUAAUAAGCGCGUGCGGGCCCGGAUACUGCCCGGGUCAUGCGUUUCUUUUAGCAUAACGAAGGGGCUGUUGAUCUGUCAUUCGGCUUGAUAGAAACAAAACAUGCAUGUCGUAAGCUAAACCAGCAGCUCUUGCAUCAGACAAAAAACCUUACGGCUGUGGGUCACUUGGCUUAGGUUAAUCUACAUGUCUGAUCACACUUGGAAGCACAGUUGGAAGCUGCUGCCUGGGGUCCAUGAACCCUUUUUUUUAGAUAUAAUCAGUGUGCCGAGACGCGGACAUGUGCAAGACGCAGAUGCAGACAUGUGCCCAAGUCCACCGACGAAGCCGAGGCUGGGAAAUGUUGUGAUGUGCAAAGCGUGGUGCGUGAAGACGUUCCUCCUCCCCGCGUUCGAUCAGGUUAGAGCAAUUCCAACCGUUCGAUUCACUUUAUCAGCGCGUGUUUAUUUGGUUGCCGCGGACCAAAAAUAUAUAUCAAAUGUGUCUAUGUAAAUUAAAUUGUGUCCGUUACAUAUCCGUUAGGACUGAAAUUGGUGUGAGGGGACUCAAACCAAACCCAGCACGUUGGGGGCGUUAGAGGCGCUGGGGAAAGGAAUUCNNNNNNNNNNNNNNNNNNNNNNNNNNNNNNNNNNNNNNNNNNNNNNNNNNNNNNNNNNNNNNNNNNNNNNNNNNNNNNNNNNNNNNNNNNNNNNNNNNNNAGACAAGCCUCCGAAGUCUUCGAGGUGUACUCCAUCGAUCGCAAUCCCUAUUCGACGCUCGUGAGCGUCAAAAGGGGGCACGCAGCUUCGCUCAAGCUUGAUCUYAMRUWCGUCGWSGCUSGUUCGUUUCSUUUCUUUSUUUCUUUUUUGUCUUUUCUUUUCUUCUUUCCUUUUUAUUCUUUCCUUUUCUGCUUCUGUUUCUUUUUUUAUUUUAUUUCCUUUUUCAUGCAUAAUGAAAGGUUCAUUCUUCUUUGGAAAAAGAGUUCAUUCCGUGUUUAUACACAAAAAUGUUCAUCUUAUUCCAAACAAAAAAAUGUUCAACUUAUAUUUAACGAGUCUUCACCCCAUAUUACGAAAAUGCUUAACUUAUUUUUAAAUUUGCUCAUUGUGUAUGCUAAAAUUGUUCAGCGCAUAUCACAAAAUUGUUCAAUGUGUAUUUAAAUAUUUGUUUCAUCUUAUGUCACAAAAAUGUUCAAUGUGUACUUAAAUAAUGUUCGCAUUGUAUAAAAAUAUGUUUGAAGAUUGUUCAGAGCAUAUUAAAAUGUUUAUCGUACAAAAGUUUCAACAAUCUUUUGGAAUUUUAAAAGUGUGUUCACAUUUUUCAAACGUUUGUUCACUGUAUGUAAAAAAAUGUCCAUUGCCUAUACGAGAAUUGUUCAGUGUGGAAAAAAUAGUUCACCAUAUAUUAAAAAAUGUUCAGUUGAUAUUUGAGUAAAGUUCACCAUAUACUAAAAACGUUCAAUAUGAAGUUUUAAAUUCAUUCUAUUAAAAUAUUGUUUGGAAUUUUCACCUUAUUUACAUUGUGUCUUGUUCUUAUAGUGGUGCACUGCAAUGUCGACACAGAAGAGCAUCAGCUCGACUAGUUAUACUCGCAUGCGUGUAACGAGAGGUCCCAAGUUGGAUUUUGCCGGUCAUUUGUUUUUGGUAUAUUUUGGCGGUUCGAGAUGUAAUGGGCCAGCCCAAUUUAGGGAGUCCGGAACUAAGGGGUCCUCUAUCGGUUAGCUCAUCCCUUAUAGGCCGAUCAUAUGGACCGCGUUGUUGAAGAUCAGAUUGUGUGACGACCUCAUGCUUGAGAAAGAAUGUUCCGAAGACUGUCAUGUCAUCCAAGCAAAGUAGUCUAGAUCGUCCUAUCUGUCCCCUGCUGGAGGUCGUUUGUAUGUAACCCUAGGAACCCCUGGUGUCUAUAUGAACCAGAAGUUCUCAUCCGCAUUGGAAGGUUGAUUAAUAUAGGGUUUAGCUCAUACGAUCUCAGAGAGAUCAACUCUGUAAUUCUCAUCCACAUCAAUAUAAUCGAACAGGACGUAGGGUUUUACCUCAUCAAGAGGGCCCGGACCUGGGUAAAACAAUGUCUCCUUCUUCUCGUGUAACCUAUCGAUCCAUGGUCCACAGAUCGGGACCCCCUACCUGAGAUCCGCCAGUUUUAACACCAGUAUUGAUGAUUUCAUUGAGAGUUCUGCUGUAGGAUCGCCAGAAGGAUCGAUGGUUAGCUUAAUCAUCAGCAAUCGAAUCAGCAACGGGGACAUCUUCGUUCCCGGACAGGUUCUUGCGUUCGGCAGCUUCACACUGCGCGCCAACCCGACCGACUGUUUUGACCAGAUCGGAGGCUUCGUCUCGAGUCAGGAAAUAAGGUUUGGGAAUCUCGAAUUCUCCGCCGACUCGCGGGGCAAUCUGUUCCCCGCUAAGAUCACGGUUUCGUCCGAUGAGCUCCAAAAUCUCGAAGCCUUGACUUCGAGUCUCUUGUCGGGCCAUGACCUCGGUUCCCUCGUUGUCGAAGAGUUGGCCUUGAGCCCGAACCCGACCUAAGUGCGCGCGCAACAGCAAACGGUCAUUGCCGAACACGCAUCCCUAAAGUGGCAUUGAACUGCGACAGACGCGUCUUAUGGUACCGAGUCGUUACAUGGUGGCAAAGUGUGGUAGCUCCUUGCAAUUAACUCCAGGUGUCAGGAUCUAUUCGUCCGAUCAAUUUCCAUUUUUUUUCUUUAAUCUCUUCCUUUCCAUUUAAACAUAAUCAUAUAAAAUUGCAUGAUUGGUUGCGGGAGCAUCAAUAAGAAGAAUAUACGAAAGCGCAUGCUAAUACACAAAUAUCAUCGACCGGCCCUCCCGUGUCAAAUUUAAAGGUUGGUUGAAACAUGUGGUGCCGCCAUAGCUAUGCUUAUGCACGAAAAGUACCCAAUAAUCAAAAAUUAUAUGAUUUCAUAUCACGCUUACCACAAGUAAAACAGCAUAUAUUCACCACAACACAUUGUGCGCUGUGAGUAGAGGCAUGGCGAACUGCACAGGACAGAGUGUGCUUUUUAUUCGACUUCAUCUCCGACUAGAGCGUGUGGCAUGCCAUCGCCGACGGUCACCACGCGGACACCGGCCACCUCAGGCAUAGUUAUGCUUAUGAGGCUGUGUUGAGCAUGCUGCCACAGCCAGAGCCACAACCUGAACCAUGGCCACCAGAGUUGGCAUGGUUAGUCUCCCAUGAUCAUGCCACCACAUCCACCGCCACCGCACCCGGCGCCACAGCCUGAACCGCAGCCCCCAGACUUGGCAUGGCUCAUCUUGGAGCCUUCCAUGAUCAUGCGGCCACAUCCGCCGCCACCGCAGCCGGCACCACAGCCUGAACCACAGCCCCCAGACUUGGCGUGGCUCAUCUUGGAACCUUCCWUGACCAUGCCGUCACAACCGCCGCCACCGCAGCCGGCGCCACAGCCUGAACCACAGCCCCCAGACUUGGCAUGGCUCAUCCUGGAACCUUCCUUGACCAUGCCGUCACAAN
rnacentral:lncRNA from 1 species